UGAAGUUCCUGCCACCGAAGAAACAAUCGAAGAACCAACCGAAACAGCAAAAGAAGAAGCCCCAGCUGCUCCAGAAACCCAAGAUCCACUUGAAGUUGAGACCAAGGAGGUUGUAACAGAGGAAGCCAAGGAAGAAAACACAGAAGCACCUAAAGAAACAGAGGAAUCACCUGAAGAAGUGAAGGAAGAGGCAGCAGUGGAAGAGCCUAUUGCAACCAUUGAAAAUGAGUCAGCAGCACCACCAGCACCACCAGCAACUGCAGAGGUGGAGGAGGAGAAAGAGAACAAACCAGUUGAGCCAGUGGAAGCUCCACCAGCAGCAGUAGCAGAAGUUCCAAUUGAGACUUCUGAAGCUUAGACCAAUGGACACAGGGUGUGAAUGAAUGGAACUGCAAAAAGAAAGUUUAUAUGGUCCUACCAUUUUGCAUGUUGAGGUUGAAAAAGCUUUUCUAUUUAUUAUUUCUUUAGUUUCCUUUAUUAAAGUUAUUAUUAUCAUUAUGGUUAUUAUUAUGGAAGUCUAUGGAUAUGGUUAUGAAUUCAUAUGGAGGGUAUAGCUAUCUAUCUACAUCAGUUAUGUAUGGCACUUAGCUCCAUGUCAGCAUAUACAUGAAGUGAUGACCAUGUGAAAUUCUAUUGCAUGAGUUGUGUAUUGAAGUGAGCUAAGGGGCUAUAGUUGUUGGGAAGGUUACAUGAGUUUAUCAUGGUGUGUUACUGUGUUUCUCUAGAUUUGAAUAAAUGAUAUUUAUUUUAUAGUACUUUUGUUAAGGAGUAAGUAUUUCUCAUGUUUUGUUUUUAAUUGGGCAUGAAUCAGUAUAAAAUACACUACUACUAACAAGUGAUUGGUGAGUCUGAAAAUGUUGUAACCUUCAGAACACCGAGUCUGAAACCUACUCAUCAUAACACAAUACACUACUAUGUGGUGUAAAUUUCAUUUUCUCUAUUGAAACCUCAAAAGUCAAAACCAUUGAAGCUUUGAAACGAAAAGCCAGAUACACAUAAAUUUUAGAGAAUGCAGGAGUUAUAGAUUGCUAAUUCUUAAUAAUGUGGAAAAGUUGCUGUUGGAGCAUAAUUGUCCUAACUUAAAUGUCACAGCAUGACUAACUCAUAGUUAUCUACUAGCUAUGCUGUCAAUCCAGGUGCGAUCCUGCGCAAUUCCGAUGCGGUGGAGGAUUGACCGUGACACCGCCGACUGGGAAAACGCAUUUGCUGGUAGUGGCGCUCCCAGCCGCAAAUCCCACUAUCAUUGUGACCUGCUAUCCCAGCCCGACCCGCUAUUAGACCUGCUCAAGGAUUUUUUCAAAAACACAAAUUAUUAUUUUUUUAAUUUUUAUUCUUCAUUAAGGAAAUCUAGGUCAUUCCGCACCCACUUAAACCUUAAUUUUUUGUUAUUAUAAAUCCAUAAAGAGGUUGGUUCAACAUCGUGAAAAAGAAACCAUUUUUGUUCUUCCUCGGUCAUUUUCGUUCUUUUCUUGCUCCGUUCAACAUCAUUUUAUUCCGUUUUUGCUCUGUUCAACAUCGUUAUGUUCUUGCUCUAUUGUUUUAGUUCUCUUUUUGACGUUGUUUUGUCUGCUAUGUUCUCUAUUUUGUUGAUUACAAUUACUAUUAGAACUUGAUUUUGAUGUUAAGUUUUGGUUAUUAAGUAUCAUUACCCCUUUAAUUUUGUGUAUUUUACUAUUUAUUUUAGUACUUAUGUAUACUGUUUGUAUUUUAUGUUUAAUUUAGAUACUGUUUUUUGGCCUUUGCAAUAGGGGUCAUCAUGCUAUCUGCGAUCCCACUAUCCCAUUUUUAAGGUCCGGCGCUCUGCGCCACUAUCUGAGACUGACAACAUAGUCUACUAGAAUGAACAAACAUCAAAACUUACUUACCUUCAAAACUGUUUUGUUGAAUCUUGAUCCCCAAAUAAACACUUAACAAAAAAACAAAGACAUUAAGAAUUAAAAAAAAAAUUGGGGAAGGAGUUUAUCAUAAAUUAAAAUGACUAAUGAUUAUUUUACAAACUGUCCCUAAUGGUAUUUGAACUUCUUUUCUUGAGGUUAGAAGAUCAAAUUCUAACCACCGAGAAUUGAUUUCGAGAACAAAAAAAUGGAAUAAUCCUAUCCUAUAUCCUAAAUAUGUACCAAAGGUGAGUAUUGGUAUGUCUAUGUACAAACAAAAGAUUCAAAACCACCUUAAGCCAAAUUGCAGGUGUUCUAUUCACCAUUCAUGGAGUACCAAAACUGCAGCCGAUGUGUUCUUGAGUGAUGACUCGAAGGCGAUCUUGCAUGAUAGCCAAAGAAGAAUAUGGGGGAAAGCACAGCUCAUAAAAGCAUGUGUGAGAUGAUGGCAAAUGACUAUCAAGUUCACUGGUUCUGCAAAUGUGUAGACGGGAAUCCAAGCCAUGGAAACCUUCAACUGGUAAAUGUUUCACAGAUGUCCAAAAGAACAGAAGAACCUUCCUUUGCUCUACUGACAUUCUCCCAACGAUCUGCCAAGUUUUUUUGAUAGAAUAUAAUAUUAAAAAUUAAACACCAUGUAACAUCCUCCUUGCAUAUUCAAAUGAUGAGUUAUUUUAAAAAGAUUCCAGAAAGAACUAUUUCAAAAGCUUCAAUAACUAGAUGUUUUCACUUAAAAUAAUAUCUUAAAGAAUUAUUGAAUGUGAACAUAAGAUAAACGGAAGUAUUAAAACUUCUACAUUCUAGCAUUUUGGAAUUCACUUAACAAGAUUCUGUGAAGGUAAAUAUGACUGCACUAUGGUAUUUUAGAGUUGAAUAGCCCAUCUUUGAACUUAUUUUAUAAUAGAGCAUGGUAAUAUGGUGUCGAUUGAUCCACUUAGUCAGACACACGUAAUGGAAAAAGACUUGAUCAGUUAGCUAUAUAGAGUAGGGGUGGCGGGGGUAUCAAAGAAAUUAUGUUAAAGAAAGAGAGUGAGAUCAUCAAGAUCCUUCUUGGUGAGAGGAGCCUAUUGGCUUGGGCUGGUAGUAGGGUCUGUUUCCUCCUAGCAUUUCCUGUUUUUAUUUUCACUUCAACUGAUAUAAACCAGAAUUUUAUUGACUGGAAUUGAUGAGCUCUGAAGCUCUUACAAUGCUGGAAUUCUGAAAAUGCAGAAAAUAAACUAAACCAGAAUUUUAAGAACUCCUAAACUAGAGCACAAUUGCUCCUAAUUUAGGAAAAUAUUCUCCCAACUGUUUUCUAACUAUAUUUCUGAAUGAUUUUCUAACUACCCUUCCCUAUCUUUUAUUCAACAUGUCUCUCAAUAUUUUUCUUCGUAUUUAACAAAAAUAAAGAUAACAAAUUUAUACUUGCAAGGAAUUUGAAAAAUGCAAGAAAAGGGAGGAAAUAAAAUAAAAAGUAGGCAAUAUAAAGGUAAAGACAAUGUGAUUCCAUGAGAUCAGUAUCCUACUUACCUCCCAAAACCAAGAUAUCUGACGGUCAAUAUCUUUAUAGCCAUUAUACACAGUAUGUGCCUUCCAAUCUUCAACAGAAAUGGCAUUUUCACUCCCAUGCAGCAUCCAAUCAAGUUCUUCAAGCUCUAAAGAUUGGAAGAACUCUUGGCUUGAGCCGGACAGAAUAUCAGCAAAACCCUUGGCAAAAUGUGAUACCUGCUUAGAUAUGGAUGUUACAAAACGAUUGUGUAUAAGAAGACGGACAUACUCCUCCCUGUUCUUACUAUCCACAACGCGGCUUUCUCCACCAAGGCAAAGCUCAAUCACUUCCCUGCGUCCUAAUUCCCACACCUCUGUGGCAAAUGUCAAUCCUAAUGUAUCUGAAUCAAUAGAAUCAGCAUCCAUAUUCAAUAUUUGCUUGCAGCUACUAUACAUUAUAGGAUCUGCUUCCCGGAUAUCUUCUAAAGUAAUAUAUUCCCCAGCCAAUUGCCCAUGAAACACACGAUCAAAAACAAUUCCCACGUGCACCUUACUCCUUAAAGCUAAUGCAAUAAUACGUCCACAGAAGCUGAAGUACUCUAAGUGCAGAGGAUGUAUCUUAGAUGCUGCAGACAAGAAGAAAACUAUACUAAAUAUGAUUGCAACAGAAGCUCUUCAAUAAUAUCUAUUGACAAAAGAUAUACCACAAAACACAUCAAUACUCGCGACACUUCCUAAGCAACCAUUGUCCCUAACAUUGGUCAAUGGGAACUCAAGUUUAGUGAUAAAAUGAUACAAGCCAGACAUAUUAUACAAUCCAAAGUUGAAUGGUGAACUGGCACAUCAUCAAUUCACCAUAACUCUUUUUUCCCUUCCUAUCUCAUUGCAUACAUUUCAAUUUAUCCGGCAGAUUUUGAUAUGUAUAAAUCCUAGACAUAAAAUAGUAGUUUAAAGUUACACCGAUGCUCUGAAUUUUGGAGGUAAAAUAGUAGUUUAAAGACAUUAGGAUUAAGUAUUGAAUUAAGUAAUAACUGAGCUCAUCCCUUGAACACAUAAUAGUUACAGUCUAAGCACAGUUACUAUAAUAAGUAGAUGGAUAGAGUACAUUACAUGGGCUUGUGAUCAUCUAAAUUUUGGCAACCUUCUGUUACAUGGUUGUCACGUUUGAUCAAAACUGGACUCCUCCCUGUUUUUGGUGAGUUGCAUCACCUAAGGCAACCGGGAAAAGAAGUUCUAUUCAGGGAGAAAAAAGAGGUUUCACAAGAAAGAGUCUCUUAAAAAACUGAAGUUUGAUUGAGUACCUCUGCAACCCAGAGGAAUACUGAUAUUAAAUAAAUGACCUAACCUCAACUAAACCAUCGGGGUACAACCAAGUUUACUGCCUUUCAACUGAAGUCUAGCACUUCGCUGUUUUUUAAGUCAGAUGUUACUUAUGAUGUAGGAUGUUUUUAACCUAUGAACUCACAUUUUGUUUUGUAGGGACCUAACUUAUUGUUUAAUUACUUUGUGAAAAAGUUUUACGCCCUUGAACACUAGGUCAAUAUUCUAUUGUCCUAAGAAAUAUCAUUUUGUAAACAUUUAUAAAUCUUUUCAAAUCUGUGUUUCUUUUGAAAGGACACGAGAACAAUAUAAUUGUCAUUGAUAAUACUCCGAAUGCAUAAUAGCAGUAGAGAAAAAAAAAUGUGCAUUUAGAUUUCCAGAUGAAACUCACCAGCAUUAGGGAAAAAUCUCCUGCGGUCAUUUGGACAUGCCAUAAAAAGAGCAUUUUGCGGACUAAAUAUUUCCUGACACACCAAAACAAACCACUCCCUCAGUACACCUGGUCCUGUAGCAUCCUCAUUUUUGAAUUCCAUAAAUAGACCCCUCUGCAGAGAUUUAGGCUUAGCUUGUGAUAUGUACUCGAAAGAUUCAGCCAACAACUGAGACCUGUCAAUAAGCAUCUCAUGAAAAUCCCAUAAUCCAUCUUUUAAUUCAUGGAAGAAUAGCAUCAUCACCAAGUGCCUCCUGGAUUCAAAAUCAGUCACACUUCUGUUCUUGAGAACCCACCUAUGAUCAUCGGUAUUCUCUGUGUACUUAACAAUCAGAUGACAUAGCAUACUUUUUCGACGCAACAAAACUCCCCAAAACUUAUCUUCUGCGCCUGUAUAGAGCUUAGAAAUGUGAUACAAUUCCUUCAAGAUGGAAAGAUAAUAAUACCACCCAUAAUAGAUAACACUCACACCCCCUUCCCCUUGUUCCUUGUUAACCAAGCAACCCUCCAUGCUUUGAAGGCACUCAUCCAUUUUGAUCAAUAACUGAAUAAAUACAAGACGGAAGCGAUCAACUACUCGUGCAAUCAAGGAAUCUUUCUCACACAAAAAUCCACAAUCCACAGGUACUUCAAACGCCCCUUGAUGCUCCGCGAUUCCAACCCUCAAAGGAGCAGAGAAUUUCUCAAAAUCAUGAACAUCUCUGCACAAUAGUGCCUGGCUAGUAUCCCUAUCACUAACACCACCAACACUCUCCAACAUUCUUCCAAAACUCAAAUCCAAAAACCUCAACAACUUAUCUGAAAUCUCAACAACACAAUCAAAACCACCCUGAAACAAAAUCCUCCGUUUAGUAUCCCUAUCACUAACACCACCAACACUCUCCAACAUUCUUCCAAAACUACCCCGGCAAACAACGUACAAAAGAUCAUUACUCUCAAACCCUACCCCUCUAAGCAAUUCACAAAACUCCAAAACAACUUCAAAAUAAAUAACCUGCAACUGUGCGGUCUCAAUAUGAUCACAAAAUAUCAUUAAUUGCCGAAUACAAAAAUCAGCAAUGCCUUUGUUAUUUGCGUAAGGGGAAUUGUAAAGAGUUACCAUUAACAAAGGAACUUUCAUAAACAUGAAAACGGAAACACAUUCCUUAUGUUCCAUAUACUUCAUCAUGCGACAAUGAAGGAUUCUUGAAGCGUCUUUCACCGAUUCACCUUUACAAAGACGAAGAAUCAACGAAACGGUAUCGUCUAGAGCUUCACAACCCAUAGGAAACCCCAUACUCCUCAAGUGUCCAAUCAAUUGAAGACACGUGUCGUUUUCAAUACAGCAUUCAGCAAGACUCUGUUCACUGUGAAGCUGUUUUCCUCUGUAUAUUAACCGUUGAUAUUCAAUCGGAAUUUUGGUUUUGAACGAAAUCGCUUUGAGAAGUGAUUUCACUGUGUCUUCUCUUGAAGCACGAAUCACUAAGCUUUUGCAGGUCCACAUCAGGCGUACGAAGAACUGUAACUGUGACGGCGUCGUUUUGGUGUCGUUUUUCAUCGUCGAGGAGGAGAAGGAGGUGUGGUCGUUUAAUUUGUUUUGGUGGAAUGAGUUGACGGUGAGGGUUUUGGUGAUUGAUUGUGACAUUUAACGUUUUACCUCACAGCCGUCGACGGCGGAGAAAGCGGUGUUUUUUUUUGCGGUGACGGUUACAGAGUGAGUGAUGAAACAAAAGUUGUUGCGUAUUUAUAAAAAAAAUAAAAGCCUAAAAAGGCUAAAUCGUAAUCUCGUACCAUUCUAAUCGCGCGAAGAUUCUGUUAAAAAUUGAUUUACGAAUCUUAUCUUAAGAUUGAGUUUUUUUUUUUACAGAAUCUUUUCUUUUCUAAUACGUCUUUUUACUAAAUCUUAAGAUUGAGUUAAAUUAUUACUUUUGAGUUGUAUAUCUAAAUAUAAAUAUAAAUAAUUAAAAAGUCAUUAUAUUUAGUUUUAAUUUUUAAUUAAUACAUAAUUUUUUAAAUAUUAUUUUUAUUUAUAUUUUAUUUUAAAUAAAAUAUAAUACAAAGGUAUAAUCUAUUAAAUUUCAUUUUUAAGGUAGUUUAGUCUAGUUGUUUGUGAAGGCUAGCUAACUCAAUGUCUCAAGAACUGACCCAAAAAUUUUAAUAAAUAGAAUACAGAACUGUUGAGUAUUAUUUGAAGAAGUCAUAGUGUAUUAAUACCAUUUUUCAAGCACAAAAAUUCUAAUCUAUCAUCUAUUUUAAAAUUAAAAAAAAUCUCAAUAUAUGAACUAUAAAAUAGUAACCAACUAAAACAUAAUAUUUUGAAGAAGUCAGAUAUAUUAACAGGUUUUUGAUGUCUAUAUCCUUCUUUUAAAUUUUUAAUCCUAAAAUAUCCUUGAAAAAAAUAUACAAAAAUGUCCUACUUUUUUGCACCAGUUGCUCAUCGCAACUUGGGGAUGCGACUUUUUUUUUCAUUUGAACAGAUGGUCGCGCAUCUUGGAGAUGCGACCGUGUACUGUGACAAUUUUUUAUUUAUUUUUUGUCAUUUAAAAAUAUUUAUAUUUAUUAUUAAUUAUUUUUAUUAUUUGAAUAAUAUAAAAAUAAUUAAAACAUUUAAAAAAUCAAAAUACUAUUAUGAAAAAUAAUAAUAUUAUAAAUUUUUAUAAUAAUAAUAAUUUUAAUAAUAUUCUAAAUUUUAAUAAAAAUAAUAAUAGUAAUAAUAAUAAUAAAGUAGAUUAUAUUAAUUAAAUUGAACCAAUAAAAUACGUUAAAUUAAAAAAAAUACAGAAAACUAAAGGAAAAAAUACAUCAAAUUUAUAUUUUAUUAUUAUUAUUAUUAUUAUUAUUAUUUUCAUUAAUUUUUAUUUAUUAGAUAAGAAAAAUAGGAGGAAUUUGUUAUAAUAAUGUGGCAAAAGAGGAGGAAGUUGUUAUAAUAAUUUGUCAAAACGGAGAAAAUAAUAUGACAAAACAAACAAAUAGGAGAACGUUGUUAUAAUAAGGUGUCAAAAUAAAUAACUUGUUCAUGAUAUUUUGCCGAUAAAAUAGGUUGGAUAUUGAUGUUAAAUUAGUAAUGUUAAAAUAGGUUCCUGGUAUUAUUAUUAUUAUUAUUAUUAUUAUUAUUAUUAUUAUUAUUAUUAUUAUUAUUAUUAUUAUUUUUCAUAAUAGUAUUUUGAUUUUUUAAAUGUUUUAAUUAUUUUUAAAUUAUUCAAAUAAUAAAAAUAAUUAAUAAUAAAUACAAAUAUUCUUUAAUUGGCAAAAAAUAAAAAAAUAAAAAUUGUCACAGUACAAGGUCGCAUCCCUGCGAUCAUCUGUUAAAAUGAAGAAAAAAAAAUUCUCCUUUACGAAGUCGUAUCCCCAGGUUGCGAUUGUUGAGACAAAAUCUCAAUUUAAUGUUUUGAUGAAAACAAACAAAAAGUUAAUUAAGAAUUCUAAUUAUGAUUCUAAGUGUUUUGAUAUUUAACAUGUGUUUUUGAGUAUGUUAAAACAAGAUAGGUAUCAAACAUCACAAAUCAGAUCAAAGAAAGCAGUUCUGGAAAACGAAGAUUGACUUGAAGCAGUUCUGGAAAACGAAGAUUGACUUGAAGCAGUUCUGGAAAACGCAGAUUGAUCUUGAAGCCGUUCUGGAAAACGCAGAUUGAUCUUGAAGCAGUUCUGAAAAACGAAGAUCAAUCUUGGAAACAAUAUUCAUCUUAUACUCUCAUAUAGAAUCAACAAAAGAUCAAUCCAAGUCACAUUUGUUCCAAAUUUUGAAGAAUCAAAGACAUGCUUCAAUAAAGACAUAUCACAAAGAUCAUUCUUCUUAUAAAGAAAAUGCAAGUACAAGACUACAAGUAGCAAAGUACACUACUGAUUUGAACUAUCCUAAAGCCUGCACACAUAACAGAAAAGCAUGUACUCAAGGCUGACAUACUGACACAAAUCACAGAAGUACAAGGCUAGUUCAUCACAAACCAGAAGAUCAAUCCUGGAUCGAUCUUUUGAUGCAGCAGAUCAAUCUUGUAUUUGGCAGAAUUUAUCCAACAACUCUUUUAUGACAGCUGGUCCCUUUCCAACGGCCACAUGAGUUGUCCUAAAUCACUUUGUAACUCAAGGUUGUUUUGUCAAAUCUUGAGUAAAUUGUAAAAAUCCUUUCAUGUUUUGAAAGGUAACUUGUUAAAGCCUUUCCAAAACAGUAAGGUAGAAUUGAAGAAAUCCUUUCUAGGUAGAAGGGUAUAAAUUGUGUAAAGAUCAAGAUUGAUCCAUGAAAACUAAGAACGAUCUUGGUUUGAACACUUAGUGAAAAAUCUCACGGUUGUGAGGACUGGACGUAACCCGGAUUUGGUGAACCAAGAUAUAUCCUUGUGUGAUCUCUCUAUCUCUAUCUCUAUUUAUUUUAUGCGUUACAAUCAAAUCAUAUUUUGAUAAAAUUGAUUUUACUGUUUUUAAAGCAAACCAAGAUUGAUCUUCAACAAAACCAAGAUCGAUCGUCAUCACUGUUAAGAUCAAUCUUGGAUUGUGAUCUUAUUUUUAAAACAGAAUUUUUAGAAGGGGCAAUUAUAAUUCAAACCCCCCUUCCUUAUAAUUGAUAAAAAAAAAGUAGGACAUUUAUGUAUUUUUUUUUUAUUUAAAUUAUGGCAUUUUAAAAUUAAAAAUUCAAAAGAGGGAUAUAUGCAUCAAAAACCCUAUAUUAACACCAUUUCUCUGAAAACAAAAAAAAAUGCUAAGAAAGAGGAAGGAGAGUAAUACUAAACUCUAUUACAAAAUCGACUCGGGAACUAUAAAAUAGCAACCCACCAACACUCUCAAAAAUUAAAAAUUAGAGUAAAAUAUAUUUAUUGAAUUGAAAUAUAUUGAUAAUUAUAUAUAUAUAUAUAAACAACUAAAUCUUAUUAGUAUUUAUAUAUAACUAAAUCUCAAUACUUCUAUUCAACGAAAUCCCUAUAUUUGAGGGAUAUCAAACAAAAAUAUAUUUUGACACUCCUCCUCAAGCUGGUGAAUAUGUGUUCUCCAUUACCAGCUUGAAUACAAUUCUUUCAAAGUUGGAGAUAUAUGGAGUGCAAAUUAUGUCAUUAUCGAGUUUUUCUUUGAUGAAAUCUCUAUCGACUUCAACAUGUUUGGUUCUAUCAUGUUGCAUUGGAUUAUGUGAUAUGCUAAUAGCAAAUUUACUAUAACAAUAUAGUUUCAAUGGUCCAUCCCACUUUAUCUUCAUUAAACCGAACCAAUCCACUUUUGCUUUCUUUAAUUGUCAUAUCCGUAAAAUCAAUAGACAAACAAUAUUAGAGACGAAAGAUUGAUCAUGUGAGCAAAAUUCGUGUGAGCUUCAAAUAGCCCACAAAAGGGCUUUGAUAAGAAAGUGAAUCCCAAAAAGAAAUCUCAAGUUGUUGCAAUGAAGGCAACAAAAAGAGUCACAAUGAAGUUGGCUAAGGUUUCAGGAAGAAAAAAAAAAACGCAAUGAAGGCGUCAAAAAGGGGUCACAAUGAAGGUGGCUAAGUUUAUCGCCAUAAAGGCGGCUAGGGUUUAUGUGGAAGCAAGGGUCGAAAGCUCUAAUAUUAUCUCAAGAAUUAGAGUAAAAUAUAUUUAUUGAAUUGAAAUAUGUUGAUAAUACAUCAAAUAUAUAUAUACUAUAAUACUAAACAACCAAAUUUUAUUAGUAUUCAUAUAUAACUAAAUCUCUACUAGUACUCCUAUUCAAAUGAAUUCCUAACCAACAAUCAAGCCAUUGUACUUUUCCUUCUAGAAAAAAUAAGGGGAUUUAACCAUCACUUACUUAAUGUGUAAUCAUUUUCCAUUUAUUUUCAAUCACCAUCAACAUAAAGUUUGAUUCAAUCAAGAAGAUUUUAAUCAGUCUCUUGAUGUGGUUAAAAAUCGCAAAAUUACAUGUUUUAUACCAAAUAAAGCAUGUUCUAAGGUUUUGUUGUGAAGAACACUUCUCACCCUCAACAAUUCAUUAUAGAAUACCACAAAUCUCAAAAGAGGAGACAUUUAAAAAAUAAAGUUUGUAAAGAUUCAUCUUUUCCACAUUUACCUGAGCAGAAAAAAGAAUUCAAAUUACUAAUACCGCUUUGAAAAAUGUUAUCUUUCGUUGGAAUUCUAUCAAUCAAUAAUCUUCAAGCAAAUAAAGAUACCUUUAAGGGAACCAUCUUAUUCCAAACAAAAUCUCUAAUUCCAGAAGGGACAUUAUGAUCAUCUUCAUAUAACAUUUGAUAAGCUCUUUUAAUAGAGUAAUCGUCACCAAAAUCGCCACAUCCACCUAUCAGAUACAUAGUCUUACAUAGAAAAGAUUUCCAACAAAAAAAUACAUUCUAACACAAGGUUGCCUUCUCAUCAAAAUAGAUUCCUUUUCCAUCUCCACACAAAAUCUUCUCUUCCCUUAACGUUAUUAAACAUAACAUUCACAACCAAAUUCUUAUUUAAAGAUAAAUUAAGCAAUCUAACAAAUCUUUCACAAAGAGGCACCCCAUCUAUACACAUAAAUCAUACCAAAAUAAACUAUCUCGACCACUACCCACACUAUUAGAGAAGUUGAUGUUAAACCAAUUACCGUUAUUGGCCUCCCCACCACUAAUUAAUUGAAUAUCUCUCCACCAAAUAGAAUAUUUACCAAAUCCUUCCUAAUAUGUAGAAAUUUUUAUUUUUUAAAAGAUAAUUAUACAUCAUAAUAGUUUUUCGUGGUUUUUCAUAUUUCAAAACAUCGAAUGAUUUUCUUAUUUUCAAUGUCAACAAAAAUAUCUCUAUAUAAUUAAUUAAACAAUUAUUUAACUACUCAUAUCUCAUGCAAUUUCACAUUUAAUUUUUAAUAAUAUUCAUUUAACAAAUAUUUAAUUAUUCAACAUAUCUUUAUCAAAUGCAUAAAAGUAAUCUUUAACACAAUUGGCUUAUAAAUAGAUAAAUAUAUAUAGUUUUAAAUUUUUAUUGAUUUACCAUCAUGUCAAGUAGAAUUGAAUUUAUAUUUUUUUUAAGUAAUAUUUUAGUUUUUUUUAAGGGAUGCAUAUUUCACAUUAAUAAUAUGAUUAUAAAAAAUCUAGUAAAUAUUUAUAAUAUUAUAUGUCUUAAUGUUUUGAGUCAAUAACUUAUUUAUUGUAGAUUUGACACAACAAAAAUAUAUAUAUAUUAAUGUCUCAAAAGUUUAUUAAUAUUUAAUUUCUCUUGUUUUUGAUAAAUUAAUAUCAAUCCAAACAUACUCUAAUCCAUAAGAACAUGGAGCAACUUUGGUCAGUCUCAAAGUUUUGAAUGAUUUUAAAAUAUCAAUAAAUCAUAGUAAAUAAGCUGUGACACUUCUCCAACAUGUUCAUAAGAUAUGCCCCCUUUUCAUUCUCAACAUGUCAAUGAGCAUUAUUUCUACCUCAAUCGCUUUCAUCUUUUAAUGCAAGUGCAGGUGCUACGUCAAAUGAUAAUACAACCAAAGCUAAAACCGGCACAUUGUGCUGACAUAAUUAGCUCGGAUAAAAUUGAGAAGAGUUUGGAAUAGUUAUUCCUCACACAAUCAAAAUCAAAACGAUAUACAGAAGAGAACCCGAACAAAGCACACAUAAAAAAUCCCAUAAUUCACUUUGAAAAAUGAAAUUAAAGGAGACGUAUUAGCAUUAUUCAUGAAAGUUGCAAUAUCUUUUAAGCUAAAAGAAAUUAAAAAAUAAAACAAAUAAAUGGGGGACAAAAAACUAACCUAAGAAAAAAUAAAACCUUAAAUUAAAGAGAUUUCACACUUGGUAUUGUACAACUGAAUAUCUUUCUGCAUACUUUUUUCUUGCCUUAUUAGAAAACAUUUUUGUUAAAAGUGUUUUGUUUCACUAUCAACUUUAUCUUUUAUAAAAUUUUGUAAUAAGUCAUGAGUAACUCUAUAGUAUUAAUCAUCAGUGACAACGACGUUUGGACAUGACGUACUAAUCACAGUAUCUCUUGAAUGUAAACUUGAUUUCAAGUCAAAAGUGUUUUGAUCAUUUUAAACAUUAUUUUUCUCUUAUAUUUGAUCACUUCAAGAAUUUACAAUACACAUAUAUUGAUAAUGAUCCUCACUUUGUAGCUCUUUAUUAACCGGAGAAAGUUGAAUCCAAAUACUUCUUAAAUUACAAUUUUAGAGCUCGUAGAAAAUAAAAACUCCUCAUUAUUUAUAUUGACAGUUUUGCCAAUAAUCGUUUACCGGUCUUGCUUUUUAAUUUUUUUUUUCUUGUGAUUUAAAAAUCAUUUGUGUAAAUUCAAGUUGACUUGACUUUUCCUCUAUAUUAAGAGUCUAUUGUGUAUCACUAUUAACUUUUCUAUCAUUGGUUUUGCAAUUAAACACAAUGAAAAGUAAUAACCAUUAUCACAUUAUUUUUUGUGCUUGAUCUUUCAGAUUCUUUCUAUUCUCAUUAAAAACUUACAAACAUAUUUCCAAAUUGCAUCCAACGAAUUCUAUCAGCUGCAAAGUUUAUGGAUAAUAAUAAUCAUAUCCAUCAAAUAAAUCUUCAAUUUAAAAUUUAGACAUUGUUUGGUAACACCAAUUAUAACUUAUAAGUUUGUUCGAUUAAAUUAGAUGUAUUUAGUAAACAAGUUUUUCUCACAAGCUUAUAACUUAUUUUGAUAUGCUAUUUAAAUAGCGCUUGAGUUAUAUUUUAUAGGUUUUAUAUUUUUUUUCAUUUAUAAUUUUAUUAAUUUAAUUUUUAUUAUUUUUUAUAUAUAAAAUAUAAUUGUCCCACUAAUUUACUAUUCACCCAUUAUCUUUAAUAUCUUCUUCUUGUUACUUUUUUCUUUUUUUGUUCAAAGUGGUACUAUUACUUGUAUAUAACAUAUCCAUUCUUUCUAUCAUUGCUAAAAAAUAUUCAUAGCAAAAAAUUUAAUUUCAUGUAUGCCAAAUUUUUUUUGUCACGUAACACAAAAUUGACAAAGAAUGAACAGAGUUGGGCUCAAUUUCUUUAAUUAUUUGUCAAAAUAAUUCAUAAAAUCUUUCUCUUAUUCAUAUGACAAGAAAUUUAUAAAGUAUAAUUUACUUUUUAUGCCAAAUUGUAAACUGUAAAAUUAAUUAUUUUUUAAGAUUACUAUUUAUACACAUGAGGUUUGUUAAACUUUUAAAUAACUCUUUAAAUUUAUGUUUAUAUUGUAAUAAAUAAAUAAAAAGUAAUUGAUGUACCAAAAGAAAUGAAUUUCAUGGUUUUUAUUUUAUUUUAUAGUUUUGUUACAUUUUUUGGAUUUUCUACCACAAAAGUCAUAAAUGAGAUAAAUAUAGUAAAAUAAAGAAAAGAGUAAACAUGAGAGACGUAUCAAGUGAAUUGGGCAAUCACAUAUGUGAAAUCUAUAAGAUAACAUCAAGUAACUAACGACAUGGAGAAGAAGAAAACAUAAAAAAUAAAGUGAAGUAGGAAAAUGGAUUGAGUACAAAAAAAAAAUUAGAUCGACUAAAACAAUAGGAAGAAGAUUAUAUAAAAAUGUCACCCUUUUUGUUAUUUUAAAUUAAAUAAUCAUAUCCUUUUAUGUAAUUUUAUAUUCUCAAAGGCUAAAUUUACCAAAAACUUUAAUUUUAAUAAAUUAGUUUUUCAGCUAUAAGCCAUCAGUUAUCAGUGAACUAUUAGCUAGCUUUUGAACUAUCAGUCAGUUUUUCAGCUAUCAGCUAACUUACAGCUUAAAUUUACCAAACAGAGCCUUAAAUUAUCAUUCUCUUUCCAAUUUGGUCCCUCAACUCUAUAAAUAUAAUUAGUUCUUAAACUAUUAUUAAUUCAUGAAUUUAGUCUCUAACGUAUUUCAUUAUAAAUAAAAUAUAAGUAAAAAUGGUAGUUGAAAGAUUUAUGUAUCUAGUUAAGAAUUUAGUCUAAAUAUAUUAACUUUUCAAUUAUCACUUUUACUUAUAUUUCAUUCUAAAAGGACUGUCAUUUUUCUCAUUAUUUUAAAACAAUUGAAAGACUAAAUUGAUGAAUUAAUAAUAAUUUAAUUAUAAAUCAUUUAUUAUAUUUUUAUAAUUCGGGACCAAAUUGAGAGAUAGUGAUAGUUUAGACUUUAGAGACUAAUCCACGAUCUAUUCGAUAUUAUAGACUAGAAGCCCUGUUGGACCUUUCUUGCUUCCUUGCAGAAAUAAGAGAGGGCAAACCAAAUGCACAUUACUUAACAUUGGUUAAAAGCAAAGUCAACAUCGAUCUAAAACAACAAUAGGUCAAAAUUGUUCUUAUAUAAAUGUCAAAAUCCGUGAUGUCUAUUACUUUUCUUGAUAUAGAAGCCAUUGAGAGAAAAGCAUACAAAAGUAUAAUAUGAAAAUUGUAUUGAUAAUGAAAAUGAUGAUUACAUCAAGUUACAAUAAGACCUAUAGCUGAUGAGAACAACUAACAACUAUCACUAACUAAUUAACAAGUCUAACCAACUAGUUUGUCUAACACUGUUAAGGGAUACCUUUCAAACAAACAAUGAGAAGAGAGAAAGAAUGAGAAGGCAAGGUAAAGGUUAAACUAGUAUACCAGAUGAAAGAAUUAAAACCUAUAACAGUCAUUCCUUUGAGCAUGCAAUAUUAAUUGCAUCCAAAUGCUAAAAAUGAAAAAUACUAAACCAGAAAGAGAUUGCUGCAGCUGGACACCAGAAUCAUUUACUACAUGCUUGCCUCGUUUGAAUUCACAAACUCAAAUGUUAUAUAUCAACCAUCUUCAAUUUUGGCAUCUAAAUUCAGUAUUGAAAUAAAUUAUCAAUCAGGAUGGUGAUAUGAUGCUUCAUGUGCCCAUGCCAAAAAAUUUCCAGCCAAAGAUAUAGUGAAAUAAGAAUUAUCAAGAGCCUCCAAACCAAAAUCCAAAAAAGCAGAGAACAAAAUCCCGGUGGUGAUUUCUCAAACAAAUCUCUCACUUUAAAAGUUCUAGAAUCACAACAAAGUCUUCAAAAAAACAUAUCUAAACAAAGUUAUCUAAAUCUGGUAUAGUAAAAACCAGAUAUUCAUUCAAAGUUAUAGAACCACCAAGGGGUCAAAACCCCUUUUUCUAUUUGGUUAUGUCUCUCUCCCAAUGCAAAAGCACCAAAUAUUCAUUCAUCCUAAGCAGACCAUAUCUAAAUCUGGUAUAGUAAAACCGAAACAUCACCGCCAUAUCACUACUAACACAUGUCGAACCAAAAUUUGUGAAAAGCAGUUCCUAAGUUCUAAGUGGUUUCAAGAAAAAAUAAAUCCUAACUGGUUUCAAGCUAUGCAAGCAGAAUUUGAAAGCACCAUAUAGAAAUAAUACUUGGUCUUUAGUUCCAUUGCCUCCUUACAAAAAACCCAUAGGUUGCAAAUAGGUUUUCAGGGUAAAGGAGAAUGUAGAUGGGAUACAAUUAGUACACAACUAGGUUGGUUGCCAAGAAUUUUCACCAACAAUCAAUCUAAAAAUACAAUUCAUGCAUGGUUGCCAAAUGUAGAAGUUUUAUUACAGUUGAUGGUAAAAUCAGAUCAACCCACUUACAUACAAAAUCACACAGAUAAUACAUUUUUCAACACUUCUUUACACCAUAUCUACGUAUAGGUCAUUUUUUAACACUUAGUUACACCUAAAUGACAUAUAAGCCAUUUUUCUUUGUAUUGCGCAGAGCAGGUGCUACAGGAUCCUAGUAACUAUAGACCAAGUGAUACACCAAACAAAAGGAAAUAAGUCAUGUACAUCUGGUAUCUGUUCUUCAACUACAGUUUUCUUCAUGUUCAAUAUUGCGACCUUAAGAUCUUUGUUUCACUUCAGUGGGUCUUUCAUUCACAGGGUGAUCUUACGCCAUUAAAGAAGAGAGAAAAAUAGGUGGAUCCAAUUCUCCCAAAGUUGGAUCGUGGGACACCACACUUCUCCCCCUCUCGUGUGAACACGAGAGGGGAUCGAUUCCCCAGUUCCACAUUCUUAACAAUAAUAAGUGCAGCUCCAUUCCUGAUCAAUUCAACCCUUCCCACCAAACCAAGGAGACUAAUUCCAUUACCAGAAACAACUUGAGCAUCCGGUUUCAGCCACACAUCACUGGUUCUUCCUCCACACUCUUACAAUGUCAAUUUAAAUCCUUGUGACAAGAAGUCAUCCCUGUAAAAAAAAUGUGAAUCUCAUUGAAGUAAGCUCCCAACAAUAUCACAAAAAGAAUAGUACUAAAAAAACAAAAUUUUGCCAUGAAUUAUGCAUAAAUUUGGAGUAUUUCAUGGUGGGCAAAUUUCUAAAGAACUUCUUCUCCUUACAUACACAGAUACAAAGGCAGGAUGGAAUAGUCUCAAUAUUCAGAAAUAAGCUUGUCAAAAUAAUGACUUGGAUCUCAUAUAACAGGAAGAAAAAAAAAAGAUUCCCACCUGUAUUCUUUCUUUAACCUAAUUUACAUGAAAAGGAAUCCAGGACAUUCUUGUGUCUAACUUAAUUUUUUUUUUUUGUCAAGUGAGAAGGGUGGACUUAGCUAGUCACAAGGUCAACCCUUAAAUUGACACAAAGCAUACAUUGUCCACCCUUAAAUUUAUAACAUGUACACAAUAAAUAAAUUAUACAUGCAGUGGGAUUCAAUUUGACCUAUCAUAAAAAGUUUAAGUACAAAUAUCAUAUGAUGGAGACCAUUGAAAAUUGAGAUAAACAAUACUCCUAAGUACCUUCUCUUGCUUAUACUUUCGCAUCUCAACUUGUGCUGAUUCUCCUUCUUAUAAUUAUCAACAAUAGGCAAAGAAGGUGGUACAAGGCUUCCAACACAAAUCAUGGCUUCAUUCAUAUUAGAUAUUCCUGAAACAAAACUAACUUGUUCACUCUUGAAAUCGUACCAAAACAGCUUCUUACGAUCGACUUCCAAGAGAACCUUACUUCCAUCAUUCGAAUAACCUAAAGGCCUCAAAGAUUUCAAAGGUAAAAAGUAACAAGAUCCCACCAAAGUUAACAGUUUAAACCAACUAUCUCUAGAUACAUAUUCUUUCAUCACCCAAACAUCAACUUUAGUAAUUUCAUAAUUCACAAUCAUACAAAGACACCCACCCAAAACCGCAACAUCAAUUUCAAAACUCUCACCAUUGUUAUCUACUACUUCAAUUUCCGGAAGUGGAACCUCGUUGAAAAUCUCUAAAGUUAGGUUAAACGCGACGAUUAAAUCAGGUUGACCCGGUUCGAGUUUCCGAGUCACAACCCAAUGGAGGGAAUUAUCAACGAAAACCCCCAUGGUUCUAGCACAGCAAAGAGCAUAACACAUACUAGGAAGUACUUUCCAUGAAUUGGUUCUUGAACUAAAGAGUCUAACUUGCGAAUCGAAAGUACGGUUUUGUAAAUCGACGAAAUAAGAGAUUCUAACGAGUUUAUAAUCGCCGGCGAAUGGAUCGAAACCGAAGCCGUGAACUCUCGCGGCAAAGAGACUUGUAUCGGAUUUAGAACGGGGAGAAAUACGGAGAUAAGGGAUGAUCCGAUGUUUACGGAGGGAAGGGUUCCAGAAAGCGAUAUCAUCAGCGACGUUGGAGAUGCAGAGAAGACCGUUACAUGAACCGAGGAGAGUGAUACGGUUACUGUAACACAUGAGAGGGUGGUUAAGUUGAACGGCGGUGGCGGUGGUGGAGGUUAGGUUAGGGAAAUCGAUUUGGUAGAGAUCGGAGUUGUGUCGGACGAUAAGAUUGAAGUUUGUGGAUUUGUUGAGGUGAAGGUUGAUGAAAUUGUUGCUGUCGAUUAAGGAUCGUAAGGGUUUUGAAGUUGAUCGGAAUCGGAGGAGGGAUUGUACCGGUAAGAGGGAGAGGAUGUCGGUGAGUAAUUCCGGUGGAAUAUCCGCCAUCGGAAUUUGGUAUUGUGAGGAUUGAAUUGGAUUUGGAUAGGGGAUAGGGGUUAGGUUAACGUGAGUGAUAGGAACGUGUGAAUAUUGAUGUUGAUAGAUUCACGUAGUUUGCAUUUGCAUUGUAUAUUCAUGAAAAGGUAAAGAAGGGAAAGUGGCGCGAAGUUGCUAUCUUUUUCUUCCCCGACUUGAACGGCAAGACUUUUAUAACACUACUCAUUUGUUUUUUCUUUUUUUUUACGAAGACAAAAAUAAAAGUUAGUUAGACCGAAAGUCUUAAAAAUAAAAAAGUGCAAAGUGUAAAUGGAAUUGAUUUGGAGCACUAAAGUUUGUGGUGAAAUGUUGUUAAUUAGUUGGAAGUUGCAACUUGCAAGAGUACUUACGUUACAUUGAGAUGAGAUCAGCAGAAUUACUUAGUCUGAAGACGAUUAUUGAACUUGAAUAAUAAAGAAGAUAAUUGGAAAAGGCGAUAGGUUAAAGAUGCAACUUUUUUAAGGUUUUUCUGGAUUAAUUUUUAUGGGUUUGGAACACUAAGAUAAUGAUGAAGAUUUUAAAAAACCUAAAAUUCUGAAAUUAUAAUUUGUGUUUUAAACUUUUGAUUAAAAAAUAAGGAUAUUCAUAAUAAUCUUACGUGUCUCCUUUUAAAAAUGAUCUUAAGUAAAAAAAUAACAAUAUAUUUGAUAUUUUUUUAUACUUUUUAAUCUUAUUUUCUUAUUGUCUUUUUUAUCUAAAUAAAUAAAUUUUAAUGUAGUUUUUCUUUUUAUAUUUUUUUUAUAAUUGCGUCAUUUCAAUAUUAAGUUUAUUUAUUUGUAGUUUUGGUAUGAUAUUAUUUCAUUUUCUAUUUUGUGCCAGUAUUUGUCUACUUUAGAUUGACAUAUCACUUUUGAUCAAUUGCAUAUUAUAUCAAUGAUUUGAUGUCAUUGCUAAAGAUCUUGGGAAAUGUAUUAUUUUCGUUGUUUUAUGUUAUUAAUCUUGAUCAUGUAGUUUAUUCACAAAUUUAUCAUUUUUAAUUUUAACAACAUUAAAUAUGUGUCUAUUAUAUGACUAAAAUAAAUCCAAAAUACAAAUUAAACUACUCAAACAAUAAAUAAAAUAAUUAGCCACAAGUUAUGCCAAUGCACACAAAGAGGUGAGAGCAUCAUUAAUUAUACUUGUAAGAGAUUCUUUUUAUAUGUAAUUUGAUUCAUCUUUAUGCUAAAAGUUUAACAUGCUCAAUGAUAAGAUUUACAUUUAAAACACGUGAAUACAAAAUUCUCACUUUUUGAUUUCUAAAUCGUUCGCGUCACUGCAAACCAAAUGAAAUUAAUUAUUUAACGUAUUACAGAUUGCAUGAAAAAAAAACUCAUCAAAUUGGUUAAUGUGAUUGAUUGCAUCCAUAAGAAACACAUCAGAUAGUCCAAACCAAUUCAAAACAUCAUACCACAUAGAUCCAGAAAGAGGGCACACAAAUUACAAAUGACGGGUUGUUUCAAUUUUUCUGCAACUACAUUGUUGAUUUUCAAAAGAAAAAAUUCAUCGACAUAACAAAUUAUCCUUUGUAGGCAGCCUAUUUUGAAAGAACCUCUACACAAAUAAUGAUACUUUUGAAUGGACAAAAAUAUGUCACACUAGGUCUUGAAGUAGAGGUGUGGUGACACAUGUGACAAACUUCUCCUGUAGCUCAAGAUAUGUCUCCUCUACCGAAUACGGUCCUCUUGGCGUAUUAUUCCACCACCACACUUAUUUGCUACAUUAACCUGCGAAUGAACGUUAGUCAAUCUCCACUUCUCCACUAAUUCCUCCUCUCGCACAAACAAUUGUCUCUACCAUCUCCACCCUUGAAAACCCUUCAAUCACAACAACUCUUACAUGACCUCUACACUUUCCUCUUGUUGCAAAGACAAAUGAAAUAAUCUACUAAACUUCUCACACAAAACUCCACCAACCAACCAUAGAUCCUUUCGAAAUAAAGUAUUACUCUCAUUCUCAAUAAUUUUAAUUUUUUUUUUUAUGAAACUAUUCAUCUUCAAUACCAACUCUUCCCACAAAAUAUCAUUCCACCACUCAGACCUGUUCGGUUUUCUCCCCCUAAAUCUCCCAAGUUCCAAUCCAUGUUUAUUGAUCAACACCUUAACCAAGAUGCCUUCUGACUUAGUUUUUAACCUCCAACACUAUUUACGUAAUAGAGCUUUAUCAAAAACUUUCAAAUCUCAUACUCCUAACUCACUAUUCUCUAAAGACAAACACACCUUCUUCCAAUUAGCCCACUGAACCUUACUCAUUUCCUUAUUCCCACCUCAAAGAAAUGUUUUGAAAACAUAUUCAAGUUGAGAAAUGAUACCAUAAGGAAUCUUGAAAAAGGAAAGAAAAUAAACCGAUAAUGCAGACAAGACAACUUUAAAGACUACUAAACGACCAUCCAACAACAAAAUUCUAAAAGAGUAAAUCACUAAAUAAUAUAUUCCAUUGAUUUUUCAUUGAUGGAUUAAUCUAGUGUUCACUGUUUGUUUUAGUAUAGCAAUUCUACUGAUCAAUAAUCAAUUAAUAUUUCAUAUCAUAAAUUUUUUAUUUGUUAUUUUAUAUCAUGGAUUUUAAUCGAUAUGAAUUUGGGACAAUAUUAGAGGAGAGAGUUAGAUAUGGAUGUGUCAUGAGAAAGCAAUGUUCAUGUUUUAUAUAUUGUAGAUUAGGGGUUGCUCUAUCACACAUUGAUUAAAUGAUUAUAUUUUAAUAUAGCAUAUAUAGACGCAAACAAUUUAAUCAUAACGUGUUAUGCAAUGUUCAUGUUUUAUAUACAUUGUAGAUUAGGAGUUGCUCUAUCACAUUUAUUCAAAUGAUUAUAUUUUAAUAUAGCAUAGGUGCAAACAAUUUAAUCAUUUGGGGCCCUUGCAUCCGCCAUUGCUAUGGAGUUUAUUAGAAGGACAUUUCAAAACAUGAAAAUUGAAGGAAUUUUGCAAAAUAUCGAAGUUAAUUAGUCUAUUAACAUUCACGGGUUUUUAUGUUAACUAGAUAUUAUCCAUCGAGCUAAAUAUAAUUAUAACAAACAAUAAAAUUCUUCAUUAAAAAAUUUAAUAUCACUGUGUUCAUAAUUUGAACUUAUAACUUUUAGUUAAGUCAAAAGAUAUUCUUACAAUGUGAUCUAAAUAUUCUUGAAUCUCUUAUAAAAGUUAUAUUGUUGGUUUUAAUUAUAUAAUUUUCGUUUGUAAUAAAAGUUAAUUUCAUUAAAUGAAAUGCACCUACUCAUUUUUUAUAGAUAUAUCUCUUUCAUUUGAAUUGGAAAUUUGACGCACUAUGCAUGACAUAAUAUAAAUAAUAUGUAUAGUAAUAAUAUAAUUAAUAAUAAUAAUAACUACAAUUAUAUUUAUAUUCAUAAAUCUUUUUAUUAUAUUAUCAAUAUAUUAUUACAGCUAUCAAAUCACUAUCUCUAUUCUUAUCUCUUUCAAACUGUCAUUUGAUAUUUAGGUCAAUAUGAAACAUUUUCCUAAUAAAUAUAAUAAAAGGAAGCUUUUUGGUGAAAAAAUUCAUGAAUAAAAGCCUCAUACUUAGUAUCUCUCAAACGUGCCCUUUCCAAACAUAGUCACCAUUUUUGCUUUACAUAUUUUUUUUCUAACAUGGCCAUAGAAGACACUCCACCACCCAUUCUCAAUGCACCACUUUUACCCCUUCACGGGCCAAUUAAUCAAGAAACACCAACCACUUUCUUUACAGCAAUAACAUCAAUUUUAAACCUUAAAAACUUUUAUGUCAUAUUAGGACCUUUGUUGUCUAUUAUUAUUUGCUUCCUAGUGAAACUCGAUGCUCCUUCUACAAGCACAAAAAUGCUUGGUGUGAUUGCUUGGGUUUUCACUUGGUGGAUCACUGAGGCUGUGCCACUUCCUAUUACUUCCAUGUGUCCCCUUUUUUUGUUUCCUCUUUUUGGAAUUGCUUCAGCUGAUAGUGUUGCUCAUUCUUAUAUGGAUGAUGUCAUCGCUCUUAUUUUAGGAACUUUCAUACUUGCUCUUGCUGUUGAACGAUACAACGUCCAUAGAAGAUUGGCUUUGAAUGUGAGUAUUAAUUCAAAGUUUAUAUUUUGUAGUACUUGUUUAUGUUUAAUUAUUACUGAAGUUUACAUUAAUUUGAGUUCUUUAGAAUGCUCUCAUGAUUUAUUAUUAAUUCAUCUGUAUUUUUUGUUAUUGAAGUAUUUUGAUAUAUUUACUCUAAAAGAAAUAAAUUAACAAUUAUUUUUAUAAAUCAAAUAAUAAAUUGUCUAUUUUGUAUUUUUUAUUUAAAUAAUUCAUAAAAAAUAUAAUUUCAUUAUUUAUAAACAUUAUACUAUUUUUUUUUAUAUUUUAUUGUAAAAAAUAUUCACUAUUUAUUAUUGUGAGUAAAAAAUAAAAAUAAAAUAAUUUUAUUUUACUACACUUUUACUUACCCGUGAAUUUCAAAAAAAUUAUCUUCUUGUUUUUAUGUUUGUUUUGCUGUGUUUGUGAAAAUGUUUCAUUGGAAUAUAUGCUCAAUAUUUGAAGCUUGAUCUCCCUAUUCAAAUGAUGACAAUUUUCUAUAUUUCCAUUAACAAAUAUAUUAUAGCUAUAGUAUUAAUAAUUAACGAAAGUUGAUAUUAGGUGGCAGAAAAUGAUGGUUGGUUCUUCUUUUAAUAAAAAAUUUCAAACAAUAAUUUUAUUUAUGGCACGUAAACAACAGGGCCAACAUGUGACUUGAUUGGUCUAUGAAGCAUAGCGUUGAAUUUUUUUUGGAGAGUUUGUCUCUAAUUUGCAUCCCACAAGUUAUACUUGUAUUGGUAUAUUCAAUUUUAUUAUACAUGCCUACAUGAUAUUGAACUUUGAGCAUAUGCAUCACUCUUCGAACAUUUUUUAGUGCAAACUAAUCUCAAAAAUUGUACUAAAAAAUGUGUGACAUAAUUGACAUAUAUAUGCUCCGUUCAAUAGUAUAUACAUAUAUAUACUGAUCACUGAUGAGCAAUGAAUAGUAUGAUGGUGAAAGUUUAAAAUAUUAAUAUAUAAUUAAAGAUCCAUAUUAGCCGCAAUGAAUACGAUGUGGUCCCUACAUACAGGUAACAUUGGUAUUCAGUGGCGAUCCACUGAAUCCAGCAAUGCUACUAUUAGGUCUAUGUGGAACCUCAUUUUUCAUAAGCAUGUGGAUACACAACGUGGCAGCAGCAGUAAUGAUGAUGCCGGUAGCAACAGGAAUAUUAAACCGGCUACCACCGGUAGAAGAGCAGUCAGAAUUAAUGAACAAGUUCAGCAGAGCAGUGGCUCUAACUGUGGUGUACGGUGCACCAAUUGGAGGAAUAAGCACUCUAACAGGAACAGGUGUUAACUUGAUAGUAAUUGGAAUGUGGAAAAGCCUUGUCCCAGAAGGAAAACCAAUAAGCUUCAGUACUUGGUUUUUCUUUGGGUUUCCUGUGGCUGUUUUGUUGCUUCUAUGUUUUUGGAUUAUGCUUUGUUUGGUUUAUGUUCGAAAGGGGUCGCGUAGGGAUUUGUCUCAUUUUUUGGAUAGAGCUCAUUUGAAGAGAGACCUUCAAGCUCUUGGUAAGUUUCUUGCUUCUAACGUAUUUUGCUUUUUUGGAAUUUCUUUUGCAUCUAAUUAAAUGAAAAAGAAAAAAAAAUGCCUUUUACCAAGUUGCUUCUCUGUCUUUUGUGUGUGUGUGUGUGUUAAAUGCUCAAUAUUUUAUAAAUUUUAAAGAAAUUUCAUAACUCAUUUUGAAAUUUAUGUUUUAUGACGUAUAAUAUUUAAUAAUAAUGUGGAAAUACAUUAAAUAAUCAGCAUAUUUGAUUUAGACCAUAAACAAAUGAUUUAGGAAAAAUAUGUUUAUAUCAGAUCAAUUGAUUUACAAAUAUAGUAAGAGGGUUUCUAAUUCUAAUGAAUUAUGUGUGGUUCAAAUCAAUAAUUCCAUAGACAUGUGAAACUAUAAGACUAAAAUCCCAUAUUUUUAAAUAGGAAUCUAAAAUUAUAGAUUAGUUAAAAUUGAUGAUUAAAAGAGAUUUAAACUAUAUAUUUUAAUUAUCUCAUUUUCUCUCCCUCGUGUUAAAAGAGAGAUGACAAAAAUAAUUUUUAUAAACCUACAUACACACACAAAAUUGUUUGUGUCUCUAUCUUUGUUGGAGCAAAAGAAGAUGGUCCAAAUUGGAAAUUGCAAAUUAAUAAAAAUGUUCAUGAAAUUGAUGUGUGAUUAUCAAAAUAAUCCAUCUAUUAAUUUUUUGAUUAAAGAAUGUGAGAAGGCAUAUUAAAAAUGUCAAUUAAUAACGACCGUUUUACUCGAAAUAAUUUAAGUUGAAUAUGUUGGAGAUUAUUUUGACAUUAAGUGGGUAUUUUUAAAAAUUAAACUCAAAUCAUUUCGGAGAAAAUAGUCAAUUUUUGUGUGGCAUUGAAUGUUGAUAUAAUAUCCACAUAGCGUGUCACAUAAGAAACUAACCUAUCAAAACUCGUGAAUAAUGAAGUUGUUGGAAAUGCACAUUAAGUUGUGACUUUGUUCCGGGUUUUCGCAGGUCCCAUGACAUUUGCUGAAAAGAUGGUGUUGUGUGUGUUUGGGGUAUGUCUAACUAUAAAUUUCAACUUAUUUUUUUAUGUGAAUCAUGAAGAAACUUAUUUUGUUUUUCAAGGAAUUAAGAUAGCAAUGUGGUUAAUUAAUACAGUUGUUGAUAAUACUAUGGAUGACAAGAAGAAUCUCAGAUAACAUUCCUGGAUGGGGAGUUUUGUUCCAUGGCCUUGUUGGUGAUGGAAGCAUUAGCGUGAGUAUCUGUACUUUUUUAUUAAUAAAAUUCAUAAUCUGAUCAAAUUGAAAAAAAUAUGAUAUAACGAUUUAGUUUUUACAAAGUUUUAACGUGGAUCAACUUAAAUAGUAAAUUUUCUCCUUUUUAUUAAAAUAAAUUGAAAUAGUAAUAUUAAUCACAAAAAAAAUAAUUUGAAUUAUAAUUUUUUUUAAAAUUUAAUUCAUGCAUUUAAUUUCAAUUAAUUUACAAUUUUGAUUGAAAUAAAAUUAAUUUUCAGAACAUUUUCUACGUGUUAGGUAAAAUAAUACAGUUUAAUUUAUGAGUAAGGAAAAUGCAAUUAGUUAGUUAUGACUCAUCAUGAUUCAUCACACUAAGACAUAUUGUAGUCUUAAAUAUAAAAAUGUGAUGAAAUGUAGGUUUUGGCGGCUGUAUUAUUGUUCAUAAUCCCUAACAUGGAGCAAGAUGGGGAGAAACUAAUGAAUUGGAAUGAAUGCAAGAAGUUACCAUGGAACCUCAUUUUGCUUAUAGGAGCUGGAUUUGCCUUAGCAGAUGGAGUACAAUCUAGUGGUUUAGCAGAUGUAAUGUCAAAAGCCUUAGAAUUCUUAAAAGAUGUUCCAUACUUGGCAAUUGUUCCUGCUGUUUGUCUACUAUGUAGCAUUAUGACUGAAAUCAUCACUUCCAAUGUUGCCACAGCCACACUUCUUGUGCCACUUUUGUAUCACAUUGCUAAAACUAUGCAUGUGCAUCCACUUCUUCUUAUGAUUCCUGGUGGUAUAGCUACUGAAUUUGCAUAUUGGCUUCCAACUUCAACACCAUCUAAUGUUGUUGGAUUUGCUACUGGACACAUUCAAAUUAUAGACAUGCUUAAAGUUGGUGUGCCACUUAAGGUUGUUGGAAUUUCUGUGUUGUCUCUUCUCAUGCCAACACUUGGUGAGUUGUUAAUGUCUUUUACUGCCUCUGUUUCAAAAUAAGCGUCCGUCUACAUUUUUGUCACAUAGAUUAAAAACAAUUAUAAAUAAAAAAAAAUGUUGUUAUUUUAUAAAAUUUAUUCUUAUUAAAUAUUAGUUAUUGACAAUUAUCAUAAAAACAAUGUGAAAUUUAAUGUCUUGAAAAUGUUGCGUGUAUGACAUUUAGGGAUACAAUUGAAAAUAAGUAAAUAAUCUUUUUAAAACAUUUUUUAUUAUUAUGUGCUAAAAUCGAUACUUAGUUUGUUGUGGAGGAGUAAUAAUUGCUUUGUGAAAACCGAUUUGGUUGAAAAACAAUUCUGAUGUCUAUGGUUUAAUUUUGCAGGAUCCAUUGUUUAUGGAACAAAUUAUGGUACUGAAUAGGUGGCAAAAGCAAACCCUAGUUUCAAAAACAAAUUUCAUUUUCAACCUCAAAAAUUAUGCAUUUUUUGUAAUUUGUUUAAUAUGUAGAUAAUUAAUUUAUUUAGGUGAUUCUACGUACUUAUAACAUAUAUUGCAUCAUUUAAAAAUUUGUCAUAUCAUUUUUCUAUGUCCAUAAAUUCGAGUAAGAGACCAAAAUUGAGUAUAUUUAAAUAGUGGAACCAAUUAUGUGAAUAGAUUAAAACAAGAUAACUAAAAUUGUAAUUAAAAUUUUAUUAUAAUGAAAUUUUUUUGGAUAAUUUGCACGUGUUUGUGCAGUAGGGAUAUUAUUGUCUCACCUCAAUACACUUGCAAAAAAACUAUUUUACCUGUUUACUACAUAUAAAAGAUUAAAAUUUGUUUCUUUCUCCCUCACAAUUUGAAACUUAAACAAAUUUUUUAGGAUUUUUUGAAAUUUUUAAAGCACAAUUAAGUUAUUUUUUAAAAUUUUUUAAUUAAUUUGAAACAUUCAAACUGUAAUUUUUAGUUUUUCAAAAAGAAAAACAAAAAUUAAAAGUUUCAAACAAUAUAAAACUUCCGAAAUAGAAAACUCCAGAAAAAAAAAAUAUAAUUAAUAUUUUCCAAAUAGAAAAUUAUAGAAUAGAAAAAAGUUUAAAUACGAAAUUCCAGAAAUUUCAAAAUAAAAAUAGAAAAUUCCUUAAUAGGAAAUUUCAGAAAUUUAAUUAAUAUUUAUAUGUAUGUAAAUAUUUAAAAAAAAUAGUAAUGUAAUUAUUUUGAAAAAAAUAGAAAAUAGUAAUGUAAUUAUAAAUUUUUGAAACUUUUGAAAAAUCCAUUUUUUGAAAUUUUAAAAUUUCCAAAACUUUACAUUUUAAAACUUUGUUCAAGGUAAAAAUUUCGAAAAUAUUUUACAAAUACUAUAAAUUGUAUUUUAAAAAUUUCAAAUUAAAUCAAUAUUUAAAAAAUAAACUCACUCUGUAUUUCGAAAUUUAAUAAUCAAUCAAAAUUUUAAAAAUUUGAAAUUGUUUCAAAAAGAAUUUUGUUAAAAUUUGGAAUCUGAGUUAAAAAAAAUACAUAUAUAUAAACUUUAUAUAUAAUAAAAAUGGUAAGUGUAUUGGAAGGAGGAAGGUAUAAGUAGAGGGUGGAAAGUAGCAAACUCAAGAAAUAAACGUGAGGCCCAAUAAAAGAAGGUUAAAAAGGCCGAGACCCAUAUAUUAGCUGUUCGUAAAAAAAGGCCUGGCCCAAUAAAACCCUAACAUGUUGUACACAUAUAUAUGUUUAACCAAAAUUAAGUGCCGGCGGAGAGAGUCAGAGACAGUGGGAGCGAGCGAGGAUGUCGAAGAGAGGUUAGUACCGUCUACUUCUUUGUGAAUGUUUAGGGUUUAAGACUUAUUUUGUUGUUGAUUAUGUUUAUAUUUUGAUUAAUCUUGCGAUUAAUAUGAUAAUUAUUAGGUCGCGGUGGAUCCGCGGGUAACAAGUUCCGUAUGUCACUGGGUCUUCCAGUGGCUGCGACGGUGAAUUGUGCUGACAAUACUGGUGCCAAGAAUCUUUACAUCAUCUCCGUGAAAGGAAUCAAAGGUAGAUUGAACCGUCUUCCUUCAGCAUGUGUUGGUGACAUGGUCAUGGCUACUGUCAAGAAGGGUAAGCCUGAUCUCAGGAAGAAGGUUUUGCCUGCUGUUAUCGUUCGUCAGCGUAAGCCUUGGCGCCGAAAGGAUGGCGUCUUCAUGUACUUUGAAGGUAAAAUAAAUGUUUCAAUUUCUAUUCGUUGAAAUGCCUUUCGUUUUAGUUUGUUGUUGAUUUUAAUUUGCUUUUGUUCUUUUGUGCAGAUAAUGCUGGUGUUAUUGUCAAUCCAAAGGGUGAAAUGAAAGGUACCGUUUUUUAAUUAAUCUCAUAUUUGCAUAGUAAUUAGAAUUCAUAGAUUGACCUUGUUUUUAUAAAAAAUUGCGGAUUUAGAAUAAACAAGCUGUUAGCUCAGAUCAUAUAGCCGAUAAGCUAGUUGAUUGUAUUUGAUCUGUUAGCUUUUAGCAGAUAGCUUGUGGUGGAUAACUGAUAAAUUAGUUGGUUGAAUUUGAUGUUUUUUGUUACAUCAGCUGUUGAACUAUCUAAUUAGGAUAGUGUAAACCAGUGUUUUAGAAUGUAACUCAAAUAAUCCAAAUUAGUCCUCAUCAAAAUAGUUCCUUAAAGAUACAAUUUACUAUCAUGAAAGUACUUGAAAAAUACAAUUUACCUUAAAAAAAUUAAGUUUGGGUUUUUUUAGUUAGUUGCCAAAAUGACUUCCUAUAUUUCUAGAGACUAAAAUUGUGUUUUACCCAAUUAGUGUAAAAUGACAUACAAAAAUAUUUUUAAAUAAUAUUCAAUAUUUUAAUUAUAAGAUAAUGGGAGUAAAUUUGAGAGCAAAUAUUAAACACUAUAAGCAAUAACCUAUAAUGUCACUUAAAGUAGCAUCUCAAAAAAUGUUAUUAGCUUCGUUGAUAAUGACAGUUUCCAAACAACUUAUUACUAUGUGAUCCUAAUGUUAUUGCUCAUUAGCUUCGCCUAGGAAAACAUACGAUGUGACCUUAAUGUUAUUACUCUAUUGAAGUUAAUCUCGAUCAAGUAAUUAAAGUUGAGCCUUUUUUCUAAUGCUUCGAUGCAUUUUUCUGAUUUUAACUUGGUAAUGGUUCUUUGUAUGACAACACCUAUCCUACUUGCUACUUUGCUGCAUUCUUUGUACUAUUUGGCCUAAUUUUUUAAUUUCUGUUAUUAUGGUUUUAACUUCUAUAUUGUUAUGUUUGUCUAGGUUCUGCUAUUACUGGUCCUAUUGGUAAGGAAUGUGCUGAUCUAUGGCCAAGGAUUGCAAGUGCAGCCAAUGCAAUUGUAUGAGUGGCGCGUUUCUUGUUCCAUGAGCUUAUGUUUCUGCAUGUAGGAUUUAUGUUUAUCUUAGAUUUUGUUUAUGCUUAACUUUGUUACCAAUUAUCUUUUUGAAGAGAUGUUAUUGUUUUCUUAACAAUAGAGAUGACAAGUUGUUUGGUGAUUUUUUCCGGUUUCUGAAACCAUUUUAGCUAUUAUGAUAUAAUUUUUACAUUAGUUAAUGCGAAUUACUGGUUUUGCACUAAUUCAUUAUUGUUUCUUUAUAAGAGUUUGGAUACAGUGUGAAAGUUAGGUUACAAUAAGGAAAUUAUUGAUACUUCAAUUUCACAGAUAAUGAUUUAUCAAUUUGCUGAUAUUUGCAGUAUAUGAUUUGCUUUGGCAAAUACCAAGUCAAAAUAAUAUCACUGUAGUUUCUGUUUUAAAUAGUGUUUUUAUAAAACUUUUGCAAUCAAAUUAUAAUAAUAUUUAACUUUUGAACAAUGAAAUCCAAAAUUAAUUUGUUUAUGUUGUGGUAGCUUAACAAACCAGCUACUAUGUCAACGCAUUAAAGAAUUUAAGUAAUGAACUAGUAGUUAGGCACUCUUGUACUAUGACAUGUUAGGAUUGUUUGGCUUCUAUGAGUUGCUCUAUAAACCGAACUAGCAUAGGUGAAGGGUGUAGUAUUACCGAAGUUAUCCUAUUUUUAUCGUACUCUAAUGCAACUUAUAAAAGAAGAGUAUAUAAGAAAACUGUUGAAAAGAAUUUCAUUAUAUUUUAAUGCUCUAUUCGAUUGAUUGCGUCUAAUUUAAAUAAAAGUGGUGUUUUGAAGCUGUCUAAACCUUAUUGUACACGCGUUUAAGUACUGUGCAACUCUUGUCUUUCUUGUUUGUAUUUUUGUAGCAUUCCCACCACAGUGAUGAAAAAAUAAAUAUGAAUAAUCCUUUAUUUAUAAUUAUAUUGUUGAAAUUAAUCUUACCAUAUCUUUUCAUAUAUGAAAAUAUUUAUGGAUUAAUGUCAAUUUAUAAUUUUGAUCUAUAGUUGUCAUAUUAUGAUUUCAAUUUUGAUCGAUUUGUAUAUAACUAAACACCCAUAAUAAUAGGCUCUAGUUUUCUUCCAAAAUUGCCCCAUAGUUUUAUUAGAAUUUAAAUGCACACUUUUACAUAUAAUUUCUUUCAUUAACCCAUGGGAUGGAAAUGGAUUGGACCACGUCAAGUAUAGAUUUGUGUUGUUUUAAAAAUUUGAAAUUGAAUCCGACUUAAUUAUUUGUCAUUGGCUAUUUUUGAUGUAUGAUCUUACUUUUUUAAAAGCCUAUCAUAGUCCAAAACAUAUUUAAAAGUCCAUUUUUUCAUAUCAAAACAUUUAAAUAUAAUUACUUAUCAAUUUACAAUUAUACUAAAUAUCAACCCUCAAUUAAUUUGUCAUAUGUAAUAGAACAAUUUAUAUUAAGAAAUAAUACAAUCAAAUCAGCCUUAAACUUUAAAUUAAGAAGGUGAUUCAAUAAGAUUAUAACAAGAUCAUAGAUUUCAACCGUAAUACACUUUAAGUUAAACACAAGACAAUUGAAAUAGUAAAACAAAUAUUAAAAAAAAUUAUUAUACAAAGAGGUUGACAUGUGACUUAAUAGGUUUUUUGAAAAUGUUAAGUUUCACCAAUUUAGAUAAAUAGAUUUUCAAAAAAAAAUCUAUUUUCUUUUUUCUUUUUUUAUUAAAACCAAAUUAUACAUUAAAUAAGUUACGUCAUGUAUCUUGGUCGGAUGUUGUAACCUACUUCUAUCUCUACUUAAAAAGCAUGGUUUUAGUUUUAACUUUUCAUUUGUUUACAAGCUGUUCAAAUCCAACAGGAAUUUUUUAAAUCCUUUUAUGACCAAAAGGAGUGAGGAUAAUAUUUUCUUACCUUAGAAACGUCAUUCUAUUCUCCAUUUUGUCCUUGAUGUAUAACUUUAUCAGUAAAAUAAUAUUAAUAGUGAUUGCUAAUUUUGCUGAUGGAGUUAUCAAAUUUGCUUUGACUAUGUCCACCAGAUUUAGAUUGUUUGAUACAAUUCCUGAUCUGGAUGUUUCUAAUUCUGGUUGAUUGAGUGAGUAGAAAACAGCUCUUCCCGUAAAUCUUAGGGCUGUUGUUAUUUUUUUAAAAGAUUUUUCGAUUUUGUAUAAUAAUAUUUUUUAUUUUCACUUUUUAAAUUUAUGUUAAAUUUAUUUGUUAAUAAGAAAAUCAAAAACUAUUUUAAAGUGAAUACAAAUAUUCUACUAAAAGAAAGUGAAUAAAAAUAUGGGUCAUGUUAAUGUGUUAAACAACAACAAAUUAAUUUUAAAUAUAAAAAUUAGUUUUUAAAAUUUCGAAAGAUUAGUUAUUCAAACUCCAAAGUGUUUCUUCUAAGGUUGUUUUUUUUUUACUCUUCCUUCUAAGGUUGCUUAAUAAGUGUCUGUAUGCUAUUUGCUAGCAUCUUCUUAAAAAGAUCUAAUAAUUAUUUAUGACAAAAAAUAUAUAUUAUGGAUGUAAAUCAAUUUUAUAGAUAAUAAAUAAGAAUAAUUGAUUUUAUCAUUUUACCACAUAAUGAUAAUUAUUAUCAUAAAAAAUUAGAUAAUCAAUACAUUAUGUUGACUGUUACAUUCAUAGUUAAACUUUAUUUCUAAUAGUAGUAUUUUUUAUUGCUGAAUUUUAUUAGUAGAAUUUCUAAAUACAUGUUAACAUCACUAAUCAUACAAAAUAAUAAAAAUAUGUAAUAAUUAUUUUUAAAAUAUCUAACAGUUAUUUCUACUUUUGAAAAAUAAUAAAAAUAUUUAACAAUUAUUUCUUUUAUUUCUGAAUACAUGUUAACAUCACUAAUUCAUACUACUAUUUUGAUUUCAUUUAUAAGAAAAGAACAUCAAAUCUAUGAAUCAAUUAAAAAAAUAUCUUGGACGAGUUUUUCAACAAAGUGAAAGCAAAAUUUAUAAAUUAAUUAAAAAAUAUUUUUUUGGAAUAAAAUAAAAAUAAAAUCAUAUAUCUAAUUAAAAAUAUAAUUAUAUAUAUAUAUAUAUAUAUAUUAAUUACUAUUUUUUAUAUUUCUUUUUAUAGGUAAAAUUUCUCGUGUUUUAUUCGGAGAUGAAAUAAUUAACGCCGGCAAUUAUUAUAUUAUUUUAUUACAUAAACUCCAAUUAUUUUUCUUUGACUUGACGUUACAAUAUCCAAUUACAUUACUUGAAUAAGAAAAUAUCUCCUAGUCACGGAUCUAAAAUAGAUACUAUAGGACGAAAAAAACGCGUGGUUAGCUUAAUCCACAUUUCAUUAGCGGUUAAAUUACCCGCGUGCGUAAGUAAAUCUGGGAACUGCCAUAACUUUCGGGGUUAUAAAUAGCCACCGCAUCACAUAUUAAAGAUUAAGUAUAAAUAAAUUAAUUAAAAUCUUCAACAUUCGAAAAAAAAUAAUGUCAGCAAUGAGAAUUCACAACGUUAUUUUCUUUGUUCUUCUCUUCCUUUCCGUGUCGGUUUUAACCGAUGCUUUGAAGAAGGAAGUUCUUGUUGGUGGGUGGACCCCAAUCAAGAACAUCACAGACCCACACGUGGCGGAGAUCGCGGAAUUCGCGGUAACAGAGUACGAUAAACAAUCUGGUAAGAAUUUGAAGCUGGUGAAAGUGAUCAAAGGUGAGACUCAGGUUGUGUCCGGAACAAACUACCGUCUUUUGUUGACUGUUAAGAAUGAAUCCGUUACAAAGAAUUAUACUGCCCAAGUGUUGGAGAAAUCUUGGAUCCAUUUCAAGAACCUCACUUCCUUUAAACCUCUUCUUCUUCAUUGAUUAUGGGAUUGGGAUGUUGUUUCUUAUAUUAAAUUAUAGUACUUUUGUUUUGUCCAUGAUAAUAAUGUUUGGGCUUUGCUUAAUCUAAGAUGAUGUAUAUAUUUGUGUUUAAUUUUUCGUUUUUGGCAUUUGAGGUUUUCUAGAAAUUUGCUGUGUCAUAAGAUACUAGUUCACUUGAACGAGUUUAGCACCUUAAUUUUACUUUAUCGAGUUUAAAUUGUCUCGUGACAAUUAUAAUUGAUCAUUAGUAUCACUUUUACUAUUUUUUCCCUUCUGUUUCUUCAAUUUAAUAAAAAAAAAAAUUGGAGGUUUUGAAAUGAUUGUACUAGUAUUUGAUUUUUCAAAAUCGAAAUGCAUAUGAAAAUUGUCACUUUUUCAAGUAGAAGGGAAAAAAACAGGAUGGUUUGUGGAAGAGGAUAAAUAUUGUGCUGCGAAAUGAGUUAUUGUAUCAAUGUCAAGAUUUAAACAUUUAUUAUUUGAGAGGUUCUAUGGUCCAGUUCUAAUAAAACACACGGGAUCAGUUUCUUUUCUUUUCUUUUUUUUUUUUUAACGCUAAAAAUAUGUUUUUUUAUUUUCUUUUUAUAUGGAGAAUUAAAGAAAGACUUUAACACUAACUACUCUUUUUUGGGGUUCUUGAAGCUACUUUUAUUUUUUUAGCUUACGUUGAUAUUAUAUAAAUACGUAGAAAUUAUUCAGAAACUAUAAAGAUUAAAAAUUAGUAUUAAAUCAAUUAACUAAAGAUAUAACUGAAGAUUAAAUAAAUAACGAAAACACAUUUUCAAAUGUUUUUGUGAUCGUAAAGUAAUAAUAUUUGAGGACUAAAUUACACCCUACAGGCUACACCCUAUUAUUUUAUAAACACAUUUGACAUUUUCACGUAUAUAUUUUAAAAAUUAAAAGUGUAAUUAAUGUAUUGAUCUUGUGUACAAUUAUUACUAAAAUGAUUUUUUUGUCUAUAAUUAUAUUUAAUAUUGACUUUUCAUCUUUGAAGUGGCAUAUUAAUUAAAAAUAUACUUAAAAAAUUUAUCAAUUCAUCUAAUAUAAUUUAAAAGAUGACUUAUAUUUAAGUAUAAUCUUUUAGAAAUGAUGGUUAUAUAUAGGGAUAGAGAGUUUUAAAAAUGGUAACCUCAUAUAAAUGAAAGAAUUUAAUGAUUUUUUGAAACAAUUCUUAAGUUCGAAAUUUGACUAAGGAUGAUUAAAAUUAAACAUUAAAAUUAGAUAGUUUAAAUUUCAACUUCAAGAUUUUAUAUUAAACAAAAAUUUAAAACUAAUUUAAGAUUUGAUUUAUCUAGUUUUGAUCGAACAAUUUUAAAAUAUUAAUUAUGCCUAAUUAGAUAUAAUCCGAUCGCAAUUCAAAUCCCUUGAAUAGAAGCUACAUAAUAGUACAUAUCAAAUGGCUUUUGCAUGGUAUGUAUGGAGGUCCCACAUAUCACAUGAGUGUGGAAAAUCAUUUGUGUCAGGCAAGAUUUUGCAUAUGCUCCAUCCAUACAAAGUUAAAGUUAGUUGUCCCUUUCUUUUUUUAUAUAAAGCUUGUCAAAUUGUAUAACUUUAUAUUUUUUUCAUUUUCAUAGCAAAAUAUGACAUUAUCUAUUGCAGUCAAUUUAAAAUUUAAGUGUAGAAUUUCAAUGUAUAAAAAAUAUAUAUGAGUAUUUCAAGGUCUUAGAAUUUAACUAAUGAAACAUGCAAAUUCAAUUUAGUAGAAUAAAAUGAAAGUUUAUAAAAAUCAUUAAAAUUGUGAAGAUUAAUUUACCUUUUUUAAUAUCUCUUUGGAAGAAGUUAUACUCUUCUUUAAAUAAGAAGUUUUGUGAAGUAUUUUAUUAUCUCAUCAAUGAAUAAGUGUACAAGAGAACACUUGAAAUAAGGUGUUUUUUUAUUUAUUAAGUGAGAGUGCUAUUAUUUUAUGUAAUUGUUAGAGUGAUAGAGUUUUGUAUGAUAAUACACAAUUUAGAGUGAGUUACAAAUCUUCAAAGACCGGCCAUGUCUAUGGGUGUAGGCAAUGGCCUACACUUGAUUUUGAAAAAUAAUGUUUUAAUAUUUAAUGUAUUGAAAAACAAAUGAUACUAAACAAAAAGAAUAAUGAUGAAUCUACAUUGUAAUGAUUUGGUGGGACAUACAUGAAUUUUAAUUAAUCAAAGAAAAUAUGUUGGAAAGUAUGUUGGACAUAUGUGAAUUUGUUGGUUUAAAAUGGGGUUGCAAUGUGUACAAAGGGAGGUGUUUAGUGUUGCGAUAGUAGAAAAAUGAUGUGAAAGUUUGGAAAUUUUAAUUUAUGGAUGAUUUGUUGCGAGCUAAUUCAAAUUUUAAAUUGUGGGAUUUCAAUGCAUGGAUAUUCUAAAGUCUUAGAAUUUGAUUAUUGAAACAUGCAAAUUCAACUUAAAAUAAUGAAAUCAGAGUUUCUAGAAAUCAUUAAAAUUGUAGAGAUUAAUUGACCAUUUUUAAUAUUUUUUUGGAAGAAGUCACACUCUUUUCCGAUAAAUAGGAAGUCUUGUGAAAUAUUUUAUUAUUCCAUCUAAAAGUAAAAUGUGUGUAAGAGAACACUUAAGAGAUUAUUUUUUUGUAGUGAGAGUGUUAUUGUUUUUUGUAACUCUUAAAGUGAUAGAGUUUGUAGAGUGAUAUAUAAUUUGAAAUAAAUUACAUAUAAUUGUAAUUGUAUUUAAGAUAGUAAAUAUAAUUAUUGAGGUGUUUCUAUAGACUUAAACAAGAUAUUGAAUCAUAUAAAUUGCUGUAUAUUUUUUUAUUCUUUUAUUUGUAAUAUGUGUUCUUAUAUAAGAUCCUAAAUGUGUAUGAAUUUUCUUCCAACAUGUUCGCAUUUGUAGUGGAUAAGUUUUGGUUGCUGGAUUAAUAUUGAAUCUUUUAUAUUUGGAGCUUCUAUUUAAAAAUUUGAUUUUGUGAGUUUAUAAUAUGUCUUAUUUGAUAUUUGAUCUAAUGCUCAAAAUUUUGAUCGUAGUGAUUAUUGAGUGUUUUGACCGUAUACAAUUCUACUGUGUGUUGAAUUCUUCUAUUCUAGCAUUUGGGGGUUCUAGAAUUCUUUUGUCAUAUAUAUAUUGGAUGUUUUGAAACUGAUUUUCUGGUUAUUCAAAAUCAAAUUGCACAUGGAGUAAAAAAUGAAAUUGAUCAUGAAAAUAGUAAAUAUUUUCUGGUAGAAGGAAACAAUAGCAGGAUAAUUUUUGGAAGAGAUAAAUAAUUUGCCGCAGAAAUGAGUUAAUCUUUGAUUUUGUGAUGGCAAAUAUUGCGAGUGAAUAAAUUUUAUAUGUAAACAUUUAUUAAUUUGUUUUCAAAUGGUGUGAUUGAUUAUGAAAAGAAAUACAACUCUAUUAAAUCACUUGAGAGAGAAGUUUAUUUUCCAUUAUAUAUAGUUCUAUUCAGUUAGAGGUAUAAUACUCUAAAAAAACGUGAUAAGGAGUGUGAGGAAAAAGAAAAAAAAAAGUGAAAAAUAGAAGAAAUUUGAUGUAAUAUUUGGUUUCCAUAGUUGGACAUACAUCAUUGGAUGAUGAGUUUUUGUAGUUUAAUGUAAUAUUUGAUGUUUGAAGGAUUUAAAGGGAAGGAAAUCAACACAAUAUAAAAAUUAUUUAAAUUUUUUUCUUACUUUUAAAUCAAAUAUUAAAAUUUAUCUUUUUCCUGAUUUUGAAUUAAAUAUGUCUGCAGUUUUCUGGAUUAACUUGUUUCCAUUCCUCUCACGUACAUUGAACUAAAAAAAAGACAGAUCACAUAUCUAUGUUGAUCAUAUUGAGAGUUGGUGUCUCCACUAAACAUUUUACUUUAAUAUUAGUUAUUUAUAAUUUUAAUUUUUGUCUAUUAAAAUUUAUGUCUUGGCCCCACAAAAAUAUUAAAUAAUUUUAUUUGUGAAGAAUUAAAGGUACAACAAUGAGAAAUAUAAAUUGUUGUGUUUGUUUGGUCACAAAUAUAGAGAUAUAUCUUGAUUGAUUGAAAAUUAAAAAAAAAAUGAAAAUAGGUAGACAUGUAAUAAUCAAUUAUAAUUUAUAAAUAUUGAGAAUUAUUUAAUUUUCAAAUAUAUAAUAGUGAAAAUUAGUUAUUUUUUAUUUAAACAUUUAUAAUAUAAAUAAUAUUAUUCUAUUAACAAAAAUUUAUGAAUCUAUGAUCACUACAAACAAAAUAUCACAAGUGAGAUCGAAAAUAUAAUUUUCUCUCACAAGUUUAGUCGAGCUUAACCAACUGAAACACAUAUUGGAUAAACAAUUUUAAGUUUAUAAUAAUUAAUAUAACUGAUUUUAUAAUUUCUUUCCUGAUAGUAACACACUUUAUUUUUUAUUUUUUAUUGUGUGUGUUAUCUAUAUGAGGGAUGGACAUUAAUUAGCUCAAAAUUGGCUAGUGGCUACAAACAAACAAGCAUGAAACAACUUUAUCGACUCAGCAGUGGCCCCAGUGGGCUUGAAUCAUGCAUAUCAGCCAUUUUCUUUCAAUUCAUGUUUAUGAUACAACUCAUGUUCAAGUGGAGCACAUGUACAACUCAUCAUUUCGUACAGGUCGACGUGUACAACCAAAUUUAUACUUAAAUAGAUGAAACAAAAGAAACUGCUAUUACCAAAAUUAUUGUACCUUUAUUUAUAUUUAAAUCUUAGGCUAGAAUAUUGGUUUAUGUCUAUAAUUAAUUUGGAAUAGCACAUCCUCCCCUCAACUUAAAUUUAAAGGAUAAAAAAAAAAUUAAUUAUUGUCUAAUAAAUUAAGUGAAAAAAAAAUUAUUGAAUGAAAUUAACUGAAAUAUGUUCUAUACAAUUUGUUUAAUUUUAUCAUAUUUAAAAGAAUUUAAACCACUAUUAUUUUAAUUCUACUCCAAUAAUUAAUUCAGAUAUAAUAUCAGUUAUAUAAAAGAUUCACCAGAUAAGGAAAAAUAAAUAAAUGAUUGAAAACAUAAGAGAUAAAAGAAAAUAACUAGAAAGCAAAUAACACUUGAGCCACCUUUGGUUAUCCAAUUAGUAAUUAUGAUUGGUUCAAAUUCCACAAGGAUUAUAAAAUAAAAUAAAAUAAAAAUCAAAUUGUGAACUGAGUUCGAAAUUCCGUUGUUGAUGUGAAAAUUUCAAUGAUAGAUAAUAUAUAAACGUUUGUAUUAGUAUUUUUAAUUUUUAAAUAUUUUUUUAGCUUUAUGAGCAUAUGAGAUUCAACUUACUUAAACUUCUUUAUAAAUUAAACAUCACUUUUUAUUUUAGUUUGGUGUAUCAAACACAAGUAUCAUAGCUGAUAUAUGAUAAGUGAGUGAAAAAUAAAUAAGGAUUAAAAUUUUACACAAUGAUGUAUCGUGGUUUACUCAAAGUGGGCUAUGUUCAAUUCUCACAAUCUGUGAGCUUUUUCACUAAUGUGCUUAGCAUUAGAAAGUUCCUGCUUUCAUACCAUAUUUCUUGAUCCCUCUUGAUCAAUUUUAGAAUUCACCUUUCAAGAUUGAAAUGAUUUUUACUGUUACCUUUCAGUCUAGAAAUGAUUUUUAAGAUUCAUAUUUUAAUAACUAAAAUGAUCUUUUUACAGCAUACUCAAAUUAUCUUAAGAGAUAGACUUGAGUUACAAAUGAUAUGUAUGAUAAAAAAGUUUAUGAUCAAAAUCUAAUCAGUACUUGUUUGAUAUUCAUUAUCAAUAAUAAUUCAAUAAAGUAAUCAUUGAAUAUAAUAAGAGAGAGAUGAAGUUUUACUUAAGAGAAGAACUUUGUUACUUGAGUAUGAUUGUUUAAGUAUGAAAUUAUUGCCUUUAAAUUUUUUGACAUUGUCUUCUCCUUGAUGUUCCUUUUAUAGAUAAAAAGAUGAUAAGAAAGGCUCAAUAUAGUCAUUAAUGAACCUCUCAAGUUGUUAGUUCAAAUUGAAAUAUAUUAAACACAUGUGCUAUUUGGUACAAAAUGGUCUUCUAUAAAACCAAAAUAUUGUGUUUCAUGGAAAACAUGGAUGAAUUAUUGAAUGGCGGUAAAAUGUCAGUUUUUAAUCUCAAAAGUAUGUUGAGCUUUAUGCAAAAAGAUGCAACAACAAUGUACCAAUGUCUUUGUUGUCCUUGCUCACAAUUAAUCAAUUUGGAGGUUAUUUUUGCUUCUUUGGACCUUUAGCUCAAGUUAUGGGCUUAAUUGUUGAUUUGAGCAGUCUUGAUACUUUUUAGAAAAUUUUACCCUAUACCCCCUCCUUUAUCUAUAUAACCCCCGAAAUUUAAAGGAAAAGACUAAAGUACCCUCAUAUAUAUUUAACGUAAUCAUUCUUUUUCUUUUCAUUUUCUCAUUUCAAUCUUUCUGGAACACACAAGUGAGUGUAAAAAAAAUCAUUUUUUCUCGAGUUUUUUUCUUUCAAGUUUCCUGGUAGAGAACAUCACUCCGACAAACUUGAAAAAAGUUUUCCUGUACAAAACACACUUCAAGAAAUCAUUUUUAAAAUUUUCUAGAACUAUCAAGAAAGUUAUUUCAAGUUCUCCGGAACUACCACAAAAAUUAUUUCAAGUUCUCUGGAAAAAAUAAACUACCAACAAACUUCAUAGUGAAUUUUCCAGAUGCUACCGGAAAACUUCAUCCACGAGUUUUUCGGAAGUUGUUUGAUUUGUUUAAAAAAUAUUUUUUAAAAUUAAUUUAUUUGUUUAAAUUUUUUAUUUUAUUAUUAUCUACUUAAUUUAUUUGAUUUUAACUAUUUUUUUUCCAGCGGAUAGGGCUAGAGCGGCAAAGUUGUAUCUCAUAGAAGGCGACGGUUUAUGGUGUAUUAAUUAUUAAUUAUGAUAUAUUAAUAAUGUAUUAUUUAUGGUGUAUUAAUUAUUUAAUUAUGUAUUUAUGAUAUAUUAAUUAUUAAUUAUUUAUGGUGUAUUAUUAUUUAAAAAUAUAUAUGAUAUAUUAAUUAUUAUUUAUGGUGUAUUAAAAAAAGGGUGUGUACCAAAAAAUUUGAAGAAAAUUUUCUGAUAAUACACAUUUUUCCAUUCUUUACCGGAAAUCUUUUUUUGAGUUUUCCGGUAAAUAUCAUAUGUAACAGAAAACUUGUAAAAAGUUUUUCGGAAACACGCUGUGUACCGGAUUUCUUCUAAAUAAUUUUUUAGAAGUUAUCAUAAAACUUUUACCUACUGGAAAUCUUUUUUACUGGCUCCGGAAAUGAUGAAAUAGUAAAAAAAAAUGAUUUUGAAUUUAAUAAAAUAAUAAAUAAAUAAAAGAGAGAGGAUAUUUUUGGUAUUUUCAUAGAUUUGUGGGGGUAUAAGUAUAAAAAUUGGGUAUAGGGUAAAAACUUUUCUACUUUUUAACUUGAGGUUUGGACUAUGGUCUUAAUUCUAUUUUUAAAAGAGAAUAACCAAAAUAUCUUUUUAUAAAUCAUAAUGUUCUUUUGAUCAAUCUUGAGUUCAAGUAAGGCACGAUGUUCUUGAUUUUUUUCACGGUGAGAUCAUUGAUUUUUGUAUGAAUGUACUUGAUCAAUUAUAUUUAAAUAAAUCACUCAAAAACAUAAAUCAAAUAGCAAUAUAAUUAAAAUUAUGAUUAGUGAUUAAUUAACUGUAAAACACUUGAUUUAAAAUUUUACCUAAAAUGUAUCACUACAUAUAAACUAAUAAUUUUAUUGUGAUCUAUUGUCCAUCAUAAGAUUUAGACAAAUAAUAUACAUAAUCAAAACCAAUGAUUUGAAUUCAUAAUUUGAAUAAAAUAAAUUGAUAUACAUCGCAUUUCUAAAGAAACGAAGUAAAUAUAUGAUGUCAUUUCAGUAUUAUCGUGUACACAAGUAACUACAUUUUAUUAAUGGAUUAAAAAAAAUAAUGAUAUACUAGAACGUCCAUAAUUUAGCAAUAUUUUAAUGCUUCAAUUUCUCUAAGAUAUGAUAAUUUAGAGCCAAAUAGGUCUUUUGUUGGAUCAUGAUGGGUCUUGGAGACAUUAGACCAAAAACUAUCACAUAAGCGGAUUUUGAACAUUAAAUCUUUAUCUAAAAUUUUAAAACAAUAAAUAUAUGAGUUCUCAUACUUAUAUGUUCAACAUUCAAUUUUUUAAUUAAUGUGUGACUUAUAACUCACACCUAAACACCAAAUAUUUCUUCUUAAAGUGUGAGUCCAUCAAUUUCUAUGAGUAUACUUCCCUCAAAUAGAAGCUUUUUCAUUCAUCUUCACUUACAUUGUCAUUGGUUGUACGUCAAUAGGACACGCCACAUGAACAACCCUGACUAGGAAGACUACCGACACAAGGAGCCUGUCAAACCUCGAUCAACAAUCGGCUUUGAUACCACUAUUGGGUCAAGAGGGGUUCAGGGCAAAGACGAAUCCAGAAAUCCAUCAAACUGAGGGCCAAAUAAAAUAUUAUAACGCAUUUUACAUAUAGUACGAAAUAUUAUAGCAUUAUUAGUGUGAAAUAUUCUUCGAAUUUGCCGAUGAUUAAUAUGCACUGAAGAUGUUAGUUGACCUACUUAAAAAAAAAUUGAUUUUAACCUCACUCAAAUUAAUGUAAUAUUUGUAACGAAACACAUUCAUUUAAAAUAUAGAUGCAUAAUUAUAUUAUACAUUAAUAUAUCUAACAUGUAUUAAAAUUCUUAUUGCUUAACAUGUAUAUAUAUUAUCUACAUGAGGGGAGUCUCAGCCCAUAAGUGCCCUCAUGUAGAUCUGUCUCUAGUUCGAAGAUCGUCACAUUUGACAGAGAAUAAUCAGACAAAUAGAUUAGAUGUUAUUUGUAUAAAUCUAAAACCUUAAUAGAUAAAAGGCUUAAUUGCACUUUUGGUCCCCCUAUUAUAGGUGAAAAUUGAAAGUAGUCCCCCCAUUUUGUUUCUCCCCAGUUUUAGUCCCCAAACAGAAUUUGAGUCCAAAUCAUGAUGAGUUGUCAUUUUUUUAAUGACGUGUCAAAAAAAAGCUGACGUGGCAGACGCAUACGUGGAAUAAACUUAUUAUUAUAUUAUUUCUAAUUAAAAAAUAUAAUUUAUAUUUUUAAAAAUUAUUAUUAUAAUUGUUAAAAAUUAUUAUUACAAAUUAAAUUUAUUUGUUAUAAUUAAAUUAAAAGAAAAAACACCUAAAAUCCAAAAUCCUAAACAACUCAAAAUCAAUACUCAUUUACUCAAGAACCCUAAAACCAUUCUGAAUCCAUCACUGAGUUUUCAUCACUGGAAACAUAAAACUAUUUCUACUUAUAAUUAGUGAGUGAUAGAGAAAACUGAAAAUCUUAAAACUGGUUUGUUAAAUGAACCAGAAAAAAUGUAAAUUGAAAAAAGAAAGGGUUGAUAAUACAGGAAGCCAUUGUGAGUAUGGCUCUUGCUGGAGCAAUCAUAGGAGCUGCAGUUGGUGGAUGGAUUAACGAUCGAUUUGGAAGNNNNNNNNNNNNNNNNNNNNNNNNNNNNNNNNNNNNNNNNNNNNNNNNNNNNNNNNNNNNNNNNNNNNNNNNNNNNNNNNNNNNNNNNNNNNNNNNNNNNNNNNNNNNNNNNNNNNNNNNNNNNNNNNNNNNNNNNNNNNNNNNNNNNNNNNNNNNNNNNNNNNNNNNNNNNNNNNNNNNNNNNNNNNNNNNNNNNNNNNNNNNNNNNNNNNNNNNNNNNNNNNNNNNNNNNNNNNNNNNNNNNNNNNNNNNNNNNNNNNNNNNNNNNNNNNNNNNNNNNNNNNNNNNNNNNNNNNNNNNNNNNNNNNNNNNNNNNNNNNNNNNNNNNNNNNNNNNNNNNNNNNNNNNNNNNNNNNNNNNNNNNNNNNNNNNNNNNNNNNNNNNNNNNNNNNNNNNNNNNNNNNNNNNNNNNNNNNNNNNNNNNNNNNNNNNNNNNNNNNNNNNNNNNNNNNNNNNNNNNNNNNNNNNNNNNNNNNNNNNNNNNNNNNNNNNNNNNNNNNNNNNNNNNNNNNNNNNNNNNNNNNNNNNNNNNNNNNNNNNNNNNNNNNNNNNNNNNNNNNNNNNNNNNNNNNNNNNNNNNNNNNNNNNNNNNNNNNNNNNNNNNNNNNNNNNNNNNNNNNNNNNNNNNNNNNNNNNNNNNNNNNNNNNNNNNNNNNNNNNNNNNNNNNNNNNNNNNNNNNNNNNNNNNNNNNNNNNNNNNNNNNNNNNNNNNNNNNNNNNNNNNNNNNNNNNNNNNNNNNNNNNNNNNNNNNNNNNNNNNNNNNNNNNNNNNNNNNNNNNNNNNNNNNNNNNNNNNNNNNNNNNNNNNNNNNNNNNNNNNNNNNNNNNNNNNNNNNNNNNNNNNNNNNNNNNNNNNNNNNNNNNNNNNNNNNNNNNNNNNNNNNNNNNUAUAUAUCUAUAUAUAUAUAUUAAACAUUAAAUUUUUCAAUUCAUAUGAAAGUUGUUUUUAACACCUUUCAUAUAUAACCUAAUUAGUAUAAUAUAUUCUUCCAAUUUUAAAUUUAUAAUUCCAAACAAAACUUUGUCCUUCUUGAUCAUCAUCUCUAAAUAUGUUCCUAACAAUCUACAACUUUGGAAGCUUUUUAGGUGUUUUAAUAUUAUUAUGUUAUAAACAUAAACGACACCUAUAACUUAGCAAGGGACCAAGGGUGACUAAGUUAAUGACUAGUCUCCAUGUACUUUUACAAAUAUUUUUAAAAGUAAGUAUUUGUAAAUAUUUUUCCUAUAAUUUUUAUAUACUUUUUUUUUUCUUUCAUAAAUACUUACUGAGACUACUUUUCUGUGCAUCCAACUUAUUUUAGUUAAUAAAUAUAUUUAUGCAAUCACAUUCUUUUAUAUUUUUUUAAUCCUUUGAAGGACAAAGUUUAUCCUUUAAUCCUUUGACAUCACGAAUCAAAUCCACAAAAAGAUGGAACAUAUAAUAAUGGUGAAGAAGAGAACACACUACUAAUGUCCAAUUAUUUAGAAAUUGAAUACCAUAAGCCACCUAAUAAAGUACACCCAAAAAAUAAAUUAGUAAGCAAUUCUUCCAUCCCACAAGAUCUUAUACAUAGAGUAGACCCAAAAUUUGUAAUUCACAUUUAAUUAAAUUAACUUCUGUUGGUAUGCAAUUCAACAUAAAUUUUCAAGUAAAAUCUGACACCUUUCAGUAGUAUUGCCUUGUUCCACACAAUGUCAAACUGAGACACAUAAACGUUAUAAAUAGUCUCAAAUAACAUGUAUGCAUAUUUUACUAAAGACCUAUUACCAUCUAUUAAUCACCACAUCUUUCUGUCUAACUUGUGAACCUACAAUGAAUUUUUUUUUUAACAUAUAAAUAUAUUCCAUCAAAAAUUCAUCUCCCCACAUAAAAAGAUUCAACCUCCCCAACCAUUCAUCUCCGCCCACCCCUAAUCCGCCUCUAAACAUAUCAACCACAUAUACAUUUUUAUUGGUGGCCAAGUUGAACAAACGACUAAAUUUGAUACACAAAGCUUAUUCUUCCACUUAAGAUCUUUCCAAAACACAAUAUCACAUCCAUCACUCACUUCCCUAAACAUAUUUCUAUUGAACCAAUCUACCUUGUUCUUAUCCACCCCUUCUGAAUCAAUAAUAUAUCUCUCCACCAAAUAAUUUUCUCACCCUUCUCAUACUACUAUCUAAGGACCCAAUGAUAUUUAUGUGAAAUAAUCUUAAAUUACAAAUCCUUAUUAUAUGUCUCUACUUUACAACACAAUUUCUUCAAAAAAACAUAAUUAAACAAUUGAACGUUCCUCACCCUAAUCCAACUAGGUUGUUAGUAUGUAAUGUAUACAAAAAUAAAUAUUGGUCACAUUAGUUUUAUAAUUUAUAGUAUUUUUAAAAGCAAAGACUAAUAAAACAUGUUUUCCAAUAAAUUAAAAACUAUUUAAUUUUUUACACACUUUAAACAGCAAAUAGAAAGAAAAAUAAAAAUACUAGUAGAUAGUUUGAAGACUAAAUAGAGUAAGUUCAAAAAUAUCAUAUGAUCCUUUUUCAAAAUAUCAUAGAUAGUUGGAGUAUUCUGUCAAAAAAUAUAUAUAGUUGGAGUAUCACUGUUAUAAGUAUAUAAAAAUCAUCCUAUGAUCCUUUUUUUAAUGACAGAAAUGAUCAUCAUAAUCAUAUGAUCCUAUAUUAACAAUUCGGAGGGUAUUUUUUGUUUUUAUUUAUUUACUGAAACUGGAGUGGAUGAAUUAAAACCGGCGUGGAAAGGGAAAAAGAUGAAACAUAAGUUUGUUUUUUCUGGUAGUUAUCAUAUCAAGUUGAAUUGAAUUGAAUCUCGUAUUAAAUCGUAUCCUAAUGCAUCAUGUUCAGUGUUGAUUAUCCUCUCAUCCAUCAUUUUCUUUUUCUUUUUUUCUCUCAUAAUAAAAUCAGAAUCGUAAAUAAUAAUAAUAAUAAUUGAGCUAGUAGUAAUAAUAUUGCAAAAAAAAAAAAGCUCUCUCUCUUUCUAUUACCAUCUUCUUCUCCAACUUCGACGCUGAAUCAGAAACCCUAAUCUGAGAAGAUGAAGGGUCUCUUCAAGGCGAAACCACGUACUCCAAUUGAUAUUGUGCGUCAAACCAGAGAUCUUCUCGUUUACUUCGAUCGCAGCACCGAAUCCAGAGAUAGCAAGCGCGAAGAGAAAGUUUGUUCUAUUCUCCUUAGAUCGCAAUUUCCUUUUUCGGAUUAUGUUAUUUUGUUUUUUCGUAAUUUUUUAUUAUGAAUGAAUUCACUUCAAUUUCUGAUCGUUGAUGAAAUCUUUACUUUCUGUUAGCAUUCUCACUUAUCAACGCUAUGUGCAUUUUCAAUUUCUUAUGCUUAAAAUUUGUUCUGUUUUUUAUUUUUAUAUUUAGUUAACUUUGUAUUGUGAUGUUCUUUCUUAUUAUGACGUUUUUUUUCUUCCUAUUUUGUAUGCGUAUUUUUAUCACCAAUUUGUAACGAGUACUUGGUAGAUGUAGUUAACAGCUGGAGUUGGCAGUGAUUUGUUUCAAAUAAUUGCUUCAAUUGUAGGUCGUUGAUUAUCAUAUUUUACCAUUGCAAAUUUCUUGUAGAUUUAAUUUUGAAUUGUUCGGUGCAAAUUUUGUUUGAGUUUUUGGUUUAGCUAGGAGAAACUUAUACUUGCAUCUUAGUGUUAAAUGUAAUUGUGUUUUUGUAAGAGAGUAAAAUUUGUGUAAACAAAAGAAAUGGCGAACUGCAUAUGCUAGCAAGCCACUCGUUCUUAUUUGACGUUUGUUUUGUUUAUGUGAUGCAUCUUACAGCAAAUGACCGAGCUAUGUAAAAAUAUCAGGGAGCUAAAGUCAAUCCUUUAUGGAAAUAGUGAAUCUGAACCUGUCUCGGAAGCUUGUGCGCAAUUGACUCAGGAGUUCUUUAAGGAGAACACGUUGCGACUGCUUAUCAAAUGUAUCCCAAAAUUGAAUUUGGAGGUAUUAAGGAAUUUUGAGACCCAGAUAUUUGCAGUUCAAUAAACAUGUUUUUUUUAUUAUUUAUUUGAUGGUGUUAGAUUUACGUGUGUGCUUGUUAAGUUGUGUUAGCUUUGUUGCAUUCUCUGAGUGAUGGUUGGAAUCAUACAUGAGUGUUUUAUCUUUAUGCUAGGACUGUUUAGUAUUUGCAAACAUUGAUAGUUUAAACUAUGGGCUUUUGCAGGCCAGAAAAGAUGCCACUCAAGUUGUUGCAAAUUUACAAAGGCAACCUGUUCAGUCUAAGUUGAUCGCAUCUGAUUAUCUGGAGAAAAACAUGGAUCUUAUGGAUGUUUUGAUAGUUGGGUAAGAAGCCAUUGGAUUAAUAUUUUGGUUGCUUAAUCUUUUUUCUAGUAAGCUUUGAAAUCAGUAUGGUGUACUCUUCUGCUUGACCAAAUGAAAGGAAACCUACUUUAUUUUCUUACCAACCAUUAAAAUAACACCUCUGUGAAUCAGACACGAUAAUCUUUGUUAUUGAUCACCAGAUUUUCUGAAUUUGAAGUAAAUAUAGUUUUGUCACGUGUUUGCCUUGCUAUGUGUGUGAUUUCUUUUGUUUCUUAUUGCGCUUUUUCACUAAAUAAUGCUUUGCUUAUUGUUUCCAUCACGCAAUUGCUGACAACUGUCUCUUUAUAGCUAUGAAAACACAGAGAUGGCUUUACACUAUGGUGCGAUGCUGAGGGAGUGUAUAAGACACCAGAUUGUUGCGAGGUAAGUAAAAGAGAGCAGAUAAUUCAUUUUGCGUUAUUUUCUGUUAAGAGCACUAUCAAGCUCUAGGCUUUUAGUGAUGACUGCUAGAAAUGCAAUUCUUCUGGUCAUAAGCAGGAACUUUUUUGUUCCUAUAUAUCCAUGUAAUUGCACCACAUAGAGAUUUAUGCCAAAUAAGAAGGGUACUGUGCAGCAAGGUCAUAUAAAGUAACUAGAAUUAGAAAAGAAAAAAUGGCCUAGGUCUGAUAAACUUUCCCCCCCCCCCCCCCCUGGGGGUCUGAACUUUUUUAGUGUUUUUUUNNNNNNNNNNNNNNNNNNNNNNNNNNNNNNNNNNNNNNNNNNNNNNNNNNNNNNNNNNNNNNNNNNNCUUGUGGUGCUGUAAUGCUUCGUGGUUUUGUAUCAGAUAUGUUCUGAACUCACCUCAUAUGAAGAAGUUCUUUGAUUAUAUUCAACUUCCAAAUUUCGACAUUGCUGCAGAUGCUGCAGCAACUUUUAAGGUGGGUAUCAUCUGAAAGAAUCUAUGAUCAUUAUUUCUUAUUUUGUGCCAUGCACAUUUUUACAACAGAAUCAAUGUUAUAAUUUUUUAUCCUCUUUCAGGAACUCUUGACAAGACAUAAAUCUACUGUAGCUGAAUUCCUUUCUAAUAAUUAUGAAUGGGUAGGUUCCCCUUCAACCUUAGCAUAAACUAUAAAGCAGCGUUUACAUUCCACCAUUAAUUUCUUCUGACAUUGUUGUUUUGCAAGAUAACAUGCAUGGGCAUAUGCUUGAUUGAUAAAGGUUCUUAUAUGAGUUUUUAAUGUGGUGCUAAUGUUAGCAUGAGUUAGAUCAUGAUUUUAGUUUUGUGACAAGUUCUGGAUGAAUAUUGCUUCCGCCAUACAUAAAUUAUACUAUUAUAAAGAUACUAUUCUGAUUAUUAGUUUACAUUUAAUUCUCAAUUUAUAUAGCACACUUCUGUUAUAUCUAUUUCUUUCUCUUUUAAAAUAUUGUUUUGUUGCUUUUAAAUGUAGAUUUCUGUUACAGAUAACUGUAUCCUUUGUAAAUGGCUCUUCAUGGAUGCAGGAUGAUACAUUUUCUAUCAAAUAGGCACAUAUGUUUUUGUGGUUAUUAGAUACUUAUCAAUUACUUAUUUACUGUUACUCAUUAUCUCUGUUGUUGCUGUUUUUAGUUUUUUGCAGAUUAUAACUCUAAGCUGUUGGAAUCUUCCAAUUAUAUUACAAGGCGCCUAGCUGUAAAGGUGCUCUAUGAAUUUGGAUUUGAUCUUAAUUGCAACUUACUAAUUAAGAAUAUUGAACGAAGCAACCAUGCAUAUCUGUAGGGCGUAGGUCAUUUGCAGUAUCUCAUUUGACCUAUGAAUGUUACUGAAAUGUAAAAAGCCAUCACGGCUAGUCAACAAAAACAUGUGCAACAAAUUCCUUUGUUUUUCCCUGGUGAAAUUUGGUCCUUGGCUCCUUGCAAUCUGAUGUUAUGAUUAAAAUAUGUACUGUUGUCAGUUUUCUUAUUACAUGGUUUAAUGCUGCAGUGAUGCAAAGAAAGUUGCUGAGUUUGAUUUCUUUCUCUUUUACAGUUGCUGGGAGAUAUGUUACUUGACCGUUCAAAUUCAGCCGUAAUGACCCGAUAUGUGAGCUCAAGAGAAAACUUGAGGAUUUUGAUGAAUCUUCUAAGAGUAUGGUCCUUUACAUAAAACUUAAUUACAUGUCUAUUCACUUACCUUCUGCCUUGGUUGUGUCCUGUCCUACCCACAUAUGCCCUCUUUAGUGUUUAAUUAUGAUGUAUUUCUUUCCUCUAUCCUUUGCUGUUUUUAGCAUAUAAAAGUCCGUUAGUUUCAUCAAAAUGCCCUUCACCCUCUUGUUAUUUUUGCAGUUUGUCUAGGCAUUAAUAUCUGACUACUAAACUUAUUUUAACUGACUUUCUGAUAUGUUUAAUGGAGAAAAUAAUAUUAAGAACUUAGAUAUAUGUACAAAGUGGGCAUUUAUUGGGUCAUUGCUGAUUUCUUUCUUCAGGAAUCCAGCAAAAGCAUACAAAUAGAAGCAUUUCACGUUUUCAAGGUAUUACAAUUAUGUUAUAGCACACAUUUGGAGGUGAUUAUUCUUGAUCUGUGCAGUUAUUGAUGUUUCCUUAUUGUAACAGCUAUUUGCUGCUAACCAACAUAAACCAGCUGAUAUUAUCAGCAUAUUUGUUGCAAACAAAAGUAAGAUUCUGAGACUAUUGGAUGAAUUCAAAAUCGAUAAAGGUAAGUGAUGCCAUCUUUUGUAUGAUUAGUGGUUGCUUUUAUCGUAUCAAAUAUUUUCCCAGGAUAACAUUUUUGUUGCAAUUGUGCAGAGGACGAACAGUUUGAAGCUGACAAAGCUCAAGUGAUGGAGGAAAUUGCUGCUCUUGAACCUUAGGGAAUAACAUGCUCGAGUUCCAGACUGUGUUAAAUGACAAGUUGCAAUGUGGUAUUUUACUUUUAUGAACUGUAUUAUAAUAGUUAUGUUAGUCAUCUAGAUGCAACUAUCAUUUCAUACAGAUUUGAAUGCUUCCAUUCUGUAAUUCUAUCGUCGCCUGUAAAAUAUUAGAUAAAUAAAUUGUUUAAACGAGCUACAUAAGGUUUAUGGCUUUCAAGGUGUUAGAAAGUAAUAAAGAUAUUCCUAGUUGACGUGUAAAUUACAAUUAGUACGAGGUCAUGCAAUAAUCUGACCCUCAUAAAUUUGUUGAACUCGUCCUUUUCCACUUAUGAAUGAUGGCCUUCCGUUGCUUUUGUAACCUUGCACUAGCUGCUGAAUCAGUUGUGGUCCCCUACCAAGUCAGUAAUUCAAUUAACUUUCGAUAGGCAGUGGGUCUAUUAUGUAGGUGAAUUACAUUUCGUGUUCCCACCUGAAGCCAUAUACAAAACAAACAGAUAGGCGUUUACAUGGGGCAUUAAGAACAGGAUAGUCAUAAAGGGUCAGUGAAGCAGUGGUUGGUCCCCGUGGGAUUUUGAAUGAUAUAGGUUAUUAGGUUCUACAUUCUUUUGAAAUAAUUUUUUUAGGUAAUGAGUUUAUUUAACUCUUUAUUGGGUUGGUUAAUUCUAUUUUUUUUCUCCCCCAACCAUUUGGGGGUUGUGACAACUUUGAGAUCUACGUAUUUCUUGGUUUUGGUAUUUUGGCAAUCAUUCCAUUAUCCAUUUUUGCUAUUCCCUUUCCCCUUCGUACCACUUAUACUCCUAUGUGGGUUCAACAUAUCCACAUAAUUAUGUUGAAGAAGCCGACUAUGCUAUAGUAGAUUGCACCCUGGUCGCCAAUUCUUCCUUACAUCUGCACCUCUGCAUCUACAACUAUAAUGAGCCACCGUCAAUAUUGGCGACAAAAUCGGUGACAAAAAGCCCCCCACUAGAGCCAUCAUUUGAGUGUUGGGGUAGACUCUUUGCGCAUAUGCCUACAAACUUUAUGUUGCUUCACCUCCUUCAAAUCAAAGUGUGACUCACCCUCCAUUAAAGCAUGUUAUACGUACUUUUGAGACUCUUAUCGAAUAUUGAUAGGCUAUUGAUAGGACUUUUUUUUCUUCCGUUUUUAGAGUUUUUUAUUGUAUUUUUUCUCAACAUUUUUUGGUAGAGUUACCUUGAUGUUAUUAUCAUCUGCAUUUCAAUUAUAUUACAAUUUUUUUUUCUCUGUAAAAAAAAGUUAAUGAACUUUAUUUAGCAAAGGAGUUAGGAGAGAGAACUGUGACCAAAGGCCAGAGAUGAGAGCGGGUUGAUGCUGGCUGGUAAAGACUUUAAUCAGGAGGACUGUUAUGAAAAAGUUUUGCAGUUUACACUUUGCUCAUGCAUGAUUGCGUAACAUGACUGGUUCCCCACACAUUUGUCGAUUUCAACUUUGAGGCUUCACUAAAGCAACAAAAUUUGGAAAAAGUGUGUGACACGGGACCAAAGUAAAUAACGCAUCGGUAUAUUCUUGGCAUAUUCCAUAUGCCAUUUCACUUGAAUUAUUAGAAGAUGGGUUAAAUUAUACUUUUUAUCUCUUAAUUAUUUUUAGGUUUUAAUUUGACUUUUAAAUUUUGUUCGUUUUAUUUUGCUUCUUUAAAUUACAAAAGUUACAUGUUUUGACUGUUUAAAUUAUUUUCGUUUUAUUUUAGUCUAUUAAAUUACAAACAUUAAAUAAUUUGGUCCUUGAAGUGCAAACAUAAUACACUUUGGUCAUUUUUAAUGGUGUUUAACAUUGUAAUUUAAGAUAUCAAAGUAAUUGAUUUUUAUAAUUUAAAUGAUCUAAAUAUUUGAUGUUUAAAACUUAAGGAUGUUUAUAACAUAAAUGGUUAAAAUAAAAUAAAUAAAAUUUAAGGAGUCAAAUUAAAAAAGAAAAAUUUAAAGAACCAAAAAUAUAAUUUAGUUUACAAACUUAACGGUAAUUUCCAGAUAUGAAAUCGUUCGUUAAUAAGGAAAAAAGUUGUUUUGUUUAGAUUUAGUUUGAUUCAAAUUAUUUUUCAAUAAAAUGUCUAUUUCAAGCAAAAAUUCCUUUCAGCGACUUUUGAAAAACAAUUCUAUUGUAAGAUAGUUGAGAGCAAAUGUGUAAUAACGAGAUUAAAAGUUAUAUGCACGUACCAUCAAUUACCAUUCAUUAACGCAUCAAAUAAAAAAUUAAAAAAGCAUAGUUAUGCAAUUGUUUAUUGUAUUGGUAUUGAUUGCCGUAAUGACAAUAUAUAUCUUUAUUAAAAAAUUAUCAAUGUUUAUUUAAUAUAAAUAUUCUUUUAGGAAUUACUGCUAAUUAUAACUCUACUCUUCAAUUUGAGGGAUUAGUCUUUUGCAUUUAUGUAUAGAAGAUAUCUGAUUCACACUAAAAAUCUAUUAAAAUUAAUUUUAGCUUUUUUAAAAUUAUUUUUUGAAUAUUAUUUCUAAUGUUAAUUGAGUGUGAGACUAAUUUAUUUAUUUAUAUGCAAAGUGAGAGAUUAAUUUACAAUCUGAAUAUUGAGGCCCAUCCAUGUAUGUUCUUGACCAUAUAUUUGAACUAAAUGACAUUAUUAAUUAUUAUCCUCUUUUGUAUAACACUCUUAUAUUGACUUUAAUGCUUAGAUGAUCAACAUAUCUCUCUCAAAACAUUAGAGAAUCCAAAUACCCGUAAAACUUUGUAUACAAUUUAUUAAAGAAGAAUUCAAUGUAUCUUAUAAAUGUAAUAAUAAUUCUUUAAAAAAAAAUAAUUGUAAUAAUAAUAACAAUUUAGUCAAUAAUAAUAACAAACGGUAUGUCAUCUUCUUUCAUAUUUUGAUCAUUUGGUAAUGUAAAUGUUAUUCUCAUGCAUUGAAUUUCACGGUAUCUUCUGAAUGAAUUUAUGAGCUCUCUUUUAGCAACCGAAGUAUCUUAAACGAAUUUGGACCAUUUUAAUUUAAAAUAUUUCUCAAUCUCUGUCAAUUAUUUUAAUUUUAAUUUUUUUUAUUAGAUCAAAAGUUUAUAUUGUAUAAAUUACGCAUUUAAAAUUUUAUAUAAAUUUAAAAUCAUUUAAUAUGUUAUUAAAAUCCAUGAAUAUUAACAAUAUUUAAUAAAACUACAUACCACAUUAAUUUUGAUGUGUCACUGACAUAUCAAAUGAUUUUAAAUUUAUACAAAAUUUUAUAUGAAUAAUUUAUACGAUAUAAACUUUCGAUUAAACGAAAUUUGUUAAAAACUUUAUAUGCAUUAUCUUUUAUGUUUGUAAAUAUUUAUAUUGAUAAUCAAAAUUUAAAACUAGCAAAAUUAAAACUCAAUUUUUUUAAUAAACUCAUGUAAUUCUUAAAGAGUUUUGAUUGCAAUAACCCUAAGAAUAUAAAUCCUCAAUCAAUUUUUAGAAAAAUAAUUAAAUCAGAGAGAAGUCAAGUGAGAUACACAGUAGAAUUUUUUAAAUUAAAUAUGGAAUUCUCUUAAUUCAAUUCAUGAAAUUACAAAAAUAUUAUUAUUUUGUUCUUUAUAUAAUCGAUAAUAAAAUUCAUAGUAAAAUUUUAAAAAUUUAUAAUUAAAACUAAUUGAAACGAUGUUAUGACUAAAAAUAAUUAAAAGACUCUUAAAUUUAAUUUAUCUAUCUAAUUAAUAAAUAAUUUAUACACUAUCAAAUCAAAUCGCAGUGAUUAGAUCAUUAAUUAUAUUUAGCUUUUAAUAUAAUAACUUAUAAAGUCACGCUCAUAGACCUGAUUGACCCUGAUUUAUUGAUAAUAUCUAAUUUUUUACCGUGAGAAUGAAUAAAAAUUAAAGUAUUUCAUAAUUAGUGUAUAAAGAAAAAAAAAAAAAAAGAAUAUAGUGAUGCGAUGGUAUAUUCUAGUACUAUUUGAUUCUAGCUAAGAGCGAUCAUCUACACAUAAAUUAAAACUAAGAGCACAUACGGUUUUGUGUAUGGUGAGUGGUUAGUGCGUUACGCGAAAGGAAGGAUCAAUAACAAACACACAGCCUCUUCCUUCCAUAUCAUCUCUCUCUCUCUCUCUCUCUCUCUACAAUUCCACAUCAAAAUGGUUGACAAUGGUAUGCUACCUCUCUCUUUCUCUCUCUAUAUAUUAUAUAGUUAAUUAUUAUUAUUACUGACUGAUUCGUUGCGAACUUCACCAACUGUAGAUUCACACUCUGAAUUCCUCGCAUCUGCAGUCGAAGCUGCUCACAAAGCUGGUGACGUAUGUUCUUUCUCAUUUCAUCUCUCUUCAUUCUAUCACUAUCUAUUCUCCUUCCAAUUCUCUUUCAAUUCUUUCCAGGUUAUUCGAAAAGCCUUCUACCAAACCAAACACGUCCAACACAAAGGAACGGUCUGUUCAUUUCUAUUCUCCUCUUCCUUUUUCAAUUCUUCGAUAUUACUGCAAUUGCUUCUAUUGAUUUCACUUUUUGUCACUGGUUUCAAAGAUAUUUUCAUCUAGGGACUAAACUGGAAAUUACCAUGCAUAAUUGUCUGAUUUCAGUUGGAUGCACUUCUUAACAAAAUUAUUAGUUCUUUGAUUUCAAUGAUAAAGUGAAAUAUGGCAAAUAAAACAUUUACAAUGAGACAAAGGAAAUAUUACAUUUUUGGAAUUUGUUUUUAUAUAUACCAAUUUCUCACACUAAACAAGCUAAGUUAAACAUCAAUGAAUCUAGUAAUGCUCUUUAAGCUUGUAUGCGUAUCAAUGUCUAUAGCUUAUAUGACAUUUAUAUAACCUAUAUUGUAGUAGUGUUGUUAAAUAGCGGCUAUAACAUAAUUGAAUUUGAACAAUCACUGUUGUUCCGCAAUACUUUUUUUAAUUCAAAAUGUUGUCAAAUAACGGCUAUAAGAGCGAAUUCGAGAAUACAACUAUUUUCUGCGAUCCGCAAUUGACAAUAUUGUAUUUUCAAAAUAUAAGUAAGAAGUUUGAGGUAAUUACUUGUUCUCUCUAGAAAAGAAGUUCAUGUAGAUAAUAGAAUUGAAUAAAAUAUGGGCAUUAUCAGUUAUCACAGCUUAUAAAGAAUACAAUAUUACUGCUCUUUUCUUACUGUAUUUUACCUUUAUUGUGGUGCACAGGUUGAUUUAGUCACUGAGACUGAUAAAGCAUGUGAAGAACUAAUAUUUAAUCAUCUCAAGGAGCUUUAUCCUACUCAUAAGGUUCAGCUAGAUCUCCCUUCAAUGAUAUAACCAUGUUUUGGAUUGUGGCCAUUAUAGCCACUUGCCGGUAUUUAUAUCCUGAAGUUCAUUUAUGUUUGUGGUCUUAUUAGUUCAUUGGGGAAGAAACCACAGCUGCUUUUGGCACUACAGAACUUACAGAUGAUCCCACAUGGAUUGUUGAUCCCCUGGAUGGAACUACUAACUUUGUACAUGGGUAAUCAUCAAUUCUGACAUUUUAGUUUAUAGUCAUUGGUUAUAUACUCAUAUUUACAUAUUGAAUGGUUAUAAUUAUACUAUCUGUAGGUUCCCAUUUGUUUGCGUCUCCAUUGGUCUUACAAUUGGAAAAGUUCCAACAGUUGGUGUUGUGUACAAUCCAAUCAUUAAUGAGGUGUGAAAUCUUCCUUCUUGAAGAUGCUUUAUAAGUGUUUGACCAUAAAACCAUUAAAUUUUUCUGAAAGGCCUUAUAGUCAUACGGCAAUAGCUCCAACAGUUGCUCCAAAGCUCCUCUUUGGAGACUUGACAUUGAAGUAAUUAAUUUAGGAAUAUGAUUCAAAAAGGAUUAUGAACAUUGAAUUUUGUAGUAUUUAAAAUUGAGUUUCCUUUCUUUCCCGGUCUGCAAAUUGAAAUUUGGGAUUGUUGUAUGUAGCUUUUCACUGCAAUCCGUGGACAAGGUGCAUUUUUGAAUGGGAACCCUAUAAAAGGUAUGUCCUCUGUUUUUAUAUUUUGAUCAUUUGUUAUUAAUGUAAAUGUCAGACUUAUGUCUUGAAUUUCACAGUAUCUUCACAAACUGAAUUGGUGAGCUCUCUUCUUGCAACUGAGGUAUGUCAAGCCCAUUAUAACUGAUUAUGCGAAAUCUAUUCAAUUUUACUUUUAUUUGCAUCAAUGAAGUGUAUUCCUCCCCUCCCCUCCCCCUGCUCUCUCUGUCCUUAUCAUGCACAUGUGUUGAUGACAAACUCAGAACUUGAAAAUAUGAAGUAUCAGUGUGUGGAAUGACUAUCUAAGUGAGAAUAGUUUUAUCAGUUAAUCAAAGUAGCUACUUACAAACCACACGAACAAUAACAAACCUUAUUAAUGUACCGUAUUUCGUAUAACACAUGACUUAUCUUAUUUAGACAUGACUUUCUCUUGCUAUUAAGUAGAUGAUCCCUAUAUCCCUAUGACACUAUCGUAAUCUUACAUUUUUGUUCAGUAAAUGUGUGCUACAAACUUAUAAUUACUACAUCUGUAGUUGUAUUUCAUUUUAAAUGUCUGUAGCUGUAAGGAAUAUAGAUCAGGAAGAUGAAAACAAAAUUAUCCAGUAGCAACAAAAGAGAAAAAUAGCUAUGCCAGGCUAAGAAAAGAAAACUUUCUUUAAUUUUCUUCUGUGUUAUUCCCUUCAUCAAAGAUGCAUAUUUGUAGUGCUGUGCUCACAACACAAAGUUAGCCUAAAACAGCAUAGGUGACCGAAACUAAUAACAAUGCAACAGAAUUGUAGAAAUGAAUAAAACAGAAUUGGUGACUCAUCAAGGCUUCUAGAUCCUUCUAGAGAGUGGUAUGACUCAUCCUCUAAAGUAGUUUAUGGAACUUGGGCUUUUGUGUUUAAUAUAUUGGACAGGGGUCAUAAUAGUAGGUAGUGUGUAAUCUUUUUAAUUUGACACUGCAUAAUCAUACGUCAUGACCAUUACUGCUGAACUCAUUUAAUCACAUGUGACUGUACUCACAAAAUUUAUGCGGCUGAUAUUCAAAUUUUCUGCAUAUUUGUAACUUGCCCGUAUUGAAUUUUAAAGUUUAAUGUACUCCUCCAUAUUUAGAUGUUCUAAAAUGAUUUGAAGGAAUCUUAGGGCAGACGUAUUAGAUUAGAGCCUUCUGUCUCGAACUCUUGAUUGUUAUGUGCCACUUAAAUUUUUUCUAGUUUUAACUUAGACACUAUGUAAGACUGUAAGUGUUUCACAAGCUAUAUAAUCAAUCGUAUGAGAGUGUUGUUUGCAAUCUUAACAACAAAAUCACGAUCCUUCAUUUUAUUCUUGCAAUGAGUGAGUUGUUGGUGUAAAUAAUAAGAAUUUCUGGAUUCGAGUUUUUUUUUUGUUAUAAGUCGAUCACAUGUGCUUUCCCCCCCUACAAGUUAGUGUUAUCAGUUAGCAGAUUGUAACCUUGGAUCAGGGCCGUCCUUGAGAAUUUGGGUGCUUUGUGCGAAGUUUGAACUUGAUGCGCCAUUUUUUUUAAUAGAAGUUCUUUAUUUUUUUAUUAAUCAUAUAUAUAAAUAAAUUUAAUAAGUGAACAUUGAAAAAUUCAAAUCAAAUAAAAACUACAGUAGAAUUAUAGCAAAAUUAGUUAUACAAUGUAUGUAAAAUCAAUAUGAACAUUGCUCAAAAAACCUAUCAUUCCGAACAUUUUUAUUUUUUAAUUUUUUUAUACUAUAUUUGGAGCCCAAUGUGGUCGCACACCUUGCACAUGCUCAGGGCCACCAUAACUAAUCCCACUUUAAGUUGUAUUUCCACUGAGUGUACGUGUAUUAUUAUCUUCAUUGUUGUCUUUAAUUGCAUAAAAAUCUGAUCUUACAAUUAGUAAGAUUGUCAUAAUGCUUUGAAUUCUAAUUUGGCUUGGAAUGAUGGAAUAUUAAGAUUAUUGGUUCAGGUCUACUUGUAAAUAUUUUGCCUUUUGAAUCAAUGCAAAUUUGAAAUUCAUCAAGCUUUUUCCCUUCUGAAAGAGCAGGCUGGAACAAAACGUGACAAGGCUACACUAGAUGCCUCUACCGAUAGGAUCAAUAGUUUACUUUACAAGGUAAAGCCAAGACUUGGCAUGGAAUCUUUUGAACUAAGGUGAUAUAACUGCUCUGUCAUAAUACCUACCCUCUUUCUAUAUGUCAGGUGAGAUCUCUUAGAAUGAGUGGGUCAUGUGCUCUGAAUCUUUGUGGAGUUGCAUGUGGAAGGCUUGAUUUAUUCUUUGAAACUGGAUUUGGUGGUCCAUGGUAUGAGUUUCUCCUGCAUAAUAAAUCUUAGGACAUUAUCAUUAUGUGAUUCAUAUUUCACAUAAUCACAUGGUCUCUCUUUCCAGGGAUGUGGCAGGUGGUGCUGUCAUUGUUAGAGAAGCUGGAGGUGUUGUGUUUGAUCCGUAAGUGACUUUGCUUAGACAUGUAAUCCUUAUAUUCUUAACUAAGAGGAAUAUGUACGAACUUCUAGAUAGUCUUUGCAUCGUUAGGUACAUAGUCCAUUUCACUACUCUUUACAUGUGUCUCCAUUUUAUGGAGAGAUAAUGUAGACAUGGUUGGGUGGACAUGGACAUGCAUUGUGACAAAUUUUAUACAUUUGAACUAUUGGCUGGACUUUACUAUGAGUACAUAAAACUAUAAAGCAUGAAGCUGCAUAGAUAUGUUGGGAAGUUAUCAUACUAACGUUGACAUCUGAUGUUUCGUUUGCUUCAGGUCUGGUGCAGAUUUUGACAUAACAGCUCAGCGUGUAGCUGCUUCAAACCCUUUGUUGAAGGAUGCAUUUGUUGAUGCUCUGCGCCAAACGGAAUGAAAAUUGAAAUUUUUAUUUAUUUAUUAAUGAUAAACUAAAAAUAUGAUUGGUAUCCUAUUGAUUCCGAUACUAGUCGGUCUCUGUUAGUAUUUCAUUUACUUUUUCCAAAUAAUUAAAACCUCAAUUUUUGGUAUAAAAUUAUCAGAUAAAAUUGCUGUAGUACUUUUAUACUUUUUGUGUGAAUUAUCCGAAGUCUUCAAUGAUAAAUAAAUCACUUUAAUGUUUAAUUAUAUCCAAAGAAAUUGUAGAAUCAAUCUUCACCUUUAAAUAAAAUUAACUACAAACUACGUGUCCUCAAAAUAUAUUAGUAUAUAAGAAUACAAGUAUACUCUAAUUUUCACUAGUGCAUCACGUGGUGAACGAUGCAACUCGCUAUAAAUCAAUUCCAUUCACAUGGGCAUGGCCUAUGAGAUGCUUCGUGAAAGCUUCCGUCUUGCUUAUGCGAUUUGAUUCUUUUGUUCUCUUCUAGUUACUAGUGGCCUAGUCUUUUGGCACAAUCUUAAAAGUUAGAAGAAUUUGGCAAAAAUGCGAUAACAUUUGCAAGUAGUAAGUCAUUGCCUCUAGAAUUGGGUUCUUUUUUCUUUUGUUUUCUUAUGAACACACUCCUAGAAUUGGGUUCUAUUUAACAAAGUCGUUCAUAGUGAAUUAGUCUGAACAUGUAUACUUGAUUGGUGAUAGUAUUAAAAGCUGUAAUUGUUUAUGGUGAAUUGCGGUAAAACCAGCGGUUAAAUUAAUUGAUAAUUUUAUAUUAUUUAUAAAUUAUAUUUAUUUUUUAUGCUUUAGUUUUUUAUGUUAUUGGGCAUGUUGAAUUUUUUAUACAAAUUUUUUAUUUUAAUAAUUCUUCAAAAAGUAUUUCAUUAAAUGUUUCCAGAAUUUUUUUAAGGGAGUGGGAUUUUUGUUUUAUUUGACCAAGGAUAAAAGAAUAAUUUAAUUAAAAAAAAUAAAUUCUAUAUACAAUAAGUUUAAAUAAUGUUUGAAAAAAUAAUAUAAAAACUAAUGAAACACACUACAAAUUUAGUGAAAAUGAAAAACUUAACUAGUUCUCUUAAACAACAUAGUUUGCUUACUUGUCGCAUACUUUUUGUUUAUUUGAAAGAUACAUUAAUAUUUGGUUUAUCAAUUAAACCUUUUUAACUUUUUUAGACUAUUUAAAUAGUCGUCACUAACUCAAAUCAAAUAUAUAUUAUUUUUUGGGACUCUCACAAAAAUGAUUUUUUUUUUGUUAAAAAUGUGUAUCAUGUUGUUAGCCAGAGAGAAUAGAUUAAACUACAUGAGGACUCUCACUAACAAACGUAAUCAGAAGUUUUAUCAAAGAUACGAAAGUUUCACACUAUUCCUACACAUGUUCAUUUGGUUUGAUGGAUUUAAAAGAUAGCCUCCAAACUAAAAAGAAACUUCUCCAUAAAAGUGUGAUGUUGGAAUCUAUUUGUUUUAGAUGUGGUUCAACUAAGGAAGAUAUAGAUAAUUUUUUUAAAGACUGCACUUGGUCAUAACAAGUCUAGUUCUUAUCUCGUUUGAGUGUUCAUUUUGAAAACUAUCAAUUUUCUUUUAUUCACUAGUUUGAAAAUGCGAUCGAUCAUAGCUUAAAUGAAGAAGUAGGUUUUGUCUUAACUUUAUGUUAUGAUAUUUGAUAUACUAGAAACAAAGUCAACUUUGAAGGAGAAAUAUUUUCAUGUUUGAAACAGUUCAUAAAACUUGGAGUGUCAUUGAGGACCACAAAAAUAUGUUGAACACUACAAGGUCAUCUGAGACCAUAAAACUUUUUGUUGUUAAAAAUGUGUAUCAUGUUAUUAGCCAAGGAGUGUCAACUCAGAUUUUAAAUUCCCAUCCUUAUGUCUCUAUUCCAUCGUCCUCUUAGUCUCCCCCUGCAAGGUCUUUGUAUAAAGUUAAUGUAUAUGCAAUUGGACCGAUGAAUAAUAAAUGGAGUGUUGGAGCCGUUAUUUAUUUGUGAUGUUAAUGGUUUAAUGAUAGUUGCAGCCACUUGGUAUUUUGAAGCACUUUCAAAUUCUAAUAUUACGGAAGUAUUGAGUUUGAAACUAACUCUUUAGUUUACUUUCGAUAUUGAAUUCAUACAGGUCGUAUUUGAAAGAGACUCUCUUAAUGUUAUUUGAGAAAUGAACAAAAAACCCUAAGACUUGUCUUGUUUUGAUUUUGUGAUCGUUAAUUAUCAAAAGAUUAAUAAUUCUUUUAUUUAUUUUUUAAAUCAUGUUAAACAAUUCGCUAAUUUAUGUCAUUAUUUAACUCAUUUUACUUUAGAUUUCAUAGACAUAAUCUAGAUUGAAGAUUGUUUUUAUUCUAAUUAAAUUUAUUUUGAGGUGAAUAAAAUGUUAUAAAUAUAAUAGAGGAGAAAAAUGUGUCAUAUAUCAAAAGAAAUUAUGGUGUAUAUGAUAUAUUUAUCAAUUACAUAAUUUUUGUUUGUUUUGGACCACUCUUAAUAAUUUUUGAAUAUGUUUUAUGGUUUGUCAUUCCGGUCAUGUAACGUUCCACUUAAACUCAACCUUAAUUGGACUCACAUAUCUUUGAUUCUUUGAGUUUAGACUCAUAUUUAAAGUCAAGUUUAAAAUUUAGAGUCAGGUAAGAGACAAAUAAAACCUGUCUUUCAACAAUUACUUUAUUAGUUGACCAAAAAAUAAUAAUUACGUUAAUAGUUUGUCAUAACUCAUAAGUUAGUCAAAUUUGUCUGUCUAGAAAACUAAUUUUAGUCAAAUUAGUUUGCUGGUGAAAUCUAAGAAAGUCAGCAAAUACAUGCUUAUGUAUUGCGUUACCUAGUUUGGUUUUCAAACUCUUGAAAAGAGGGGAGCAUGAAUGAGACAUAGAACAGAACAGUAUAAAAAAGUAUAAAUAAACAAGUCAUAUAUAUAUAUAUAUUGUAAAAUUGAGUUGUUUUAGAGGAGAACUUUUGUUAGUCUAUGACAGAUUAAUAUUUAAAAUUAUUAAAAAGUUUAACGAUAAUCGACCAUAUUUUUGAGAAAUAAUUGUUUGUAAUCUUCUUUGUCAUUAUAUUUUAUAAUUUACUAUUGUUAUUAUUUUAUAUAUUUAAUUUUAUAUUUAUUCUCUUUAAUUCUAUCAUUUUUUUUUUACUCCUACACCAAACUACCAAAUAAUUAAUUUAUUUUCACUGUUUUUUCCUUCAUUAACCAAACAACGUACAAAGAAGAUAGAGAUUAAAUUGUCGCGGUUUAUUUUUUAAAAAAUUUAAAAUUAUUUUCAUUUUUUUAUACAUAAAAUUGAGUUUUAUGAUUUUUCUUAGAUACUAAAAUAGAUCUUCACCCUACUAAAACUGAAAAGUUUUUGUUUAACACAUAGACGAGAUAUAUACAAACUAUUUAUUGUACAAUUAUUUUUAGUGGACAUUUAUUGUAUUAUUGAAAAAAUACUUUCCACUUGAAAAUACAAAAAAAAAGGAAAAAAAAUAGAGACCUGAUAUAUUGAAAUAGCAAUAAAUAUUUGUUUCGAUGAAACUUUCUCUUUUAUCGAAGAUUGACCAUUACUAUAUAAUAGGGUCAUUAUUUUUUUUUUAAUUUAUUAUUAUACUUUAUUCUUAAAUCAAAUGACUGUAUUUAAAGGAAUAAAGUGAAUCUGCUUUUAGGAAGUAAAAAAUCUUAGAUUUUGAAUGGGUCGUUGAAAUUGUUUGAAAUGAUAAAAAUCAAAUAAUUUUAUGUGAUGUAACAAAAUAUUUCUAAUUUCUACUUAGAAUAACUUUUUUUUAAGGUAAUCUUGUUAUGUUGACAACGGUGUAUUAUUCCUUUCAAUCCCGUAUCAACCCGGAUAAUUCCUCUAUAACAACAUUCUCUUUAUAAGACCUUUCAACCAAUCACUUAUUACAAACUCAUCAUCAAUUUCAAUUUUAUUUGGUCGUUGUUAAUUAUAAUAAAUUAAAUCACUUAUUUAAAACAUAAACAAUAGUUUAAUUUUUUAAUAGAUUUUCUUAAGUAUUACCUAGAUGAAAAGUAUAGUAACAAGUACCCAUGUGGAUGCAUGAAUAAUUUACCAAUUAAAUACAGAAAAUGAUAAAACAUAAACUAGAACGGAAUAAGAAAAGUACAAAAAUAUAAACAAACAAGUUGCACUAAGUACAUAUAUGUGUCUAUAUAUAUAUAUAUAUAUAUAUAUAUAUAUAUAUAUAUAUAUAUAUCAGCGAUACUUUUUAGAAAUAAUAGCUUGUAAUUAUGUUCAUUUCUAAGAAUAAGACGAUAAUCUGAUUCAUUUUGUUCAUUUUUAGGAAUAAAACGAUAAUUUGAUUGAUGUCGAAUCAAUACAAAAUAUGUGUUUUUCUUUAUUUUUAUCGAAUAAAUAUUAUUUAAAUCAUUAACUCAGUCAUACAAAUAAAAAGGAUCAUUAACGUUUAUAUCUAAGAAAUGAAAUCAAUGAUCUUUCAAGUUUUAAAUAUUUUUUAAAGCUAUUCCAUAGUAGAAUUUGUCAAAUGAUAUCCCAUAUCCAUGUUUGAAUUUGUCACUUUAUACUAUAGUACUUUACAUUUUGUAUAUAUAAUUGGUCAAAAGAUUAUUUUAUUAAUAAUUAAAUUACGGAAAUGUGAGAAAGAAGUGGCUUACAAAUAUCUUAUUUUAUCGAAUAAUGAUUAUAAUUUUCAAAUGAUAUUUACAACUUCUUAAAAUAUAUAUAUGAUUUAAAAGAAUUAUUGAUUGGAUGUAAUUUUUUAAAAAUAAAAUUAAAAGAUAUGUGAGAAAGAAAGUACUAUCUAUCUGAUUCUCAAAUGGAGAUGAAUUUAUUUAUUUAUUUGAAAAAUGAACAUUGAAAUUUAUUGCUGAGGUACAGUAUUCAACAAUCAGAAACCAUGCUUCUUUUAUGGAGUGGAAUAUGAGAAAAAAGAGAGCACAAUGCAUCACUCCCUUUGGCCAGAUCUAUUCAAAAUAUUUCAAUAGAGGCUUGGUCAAUGUUCAUCAAGCUGUGAAAUGUACAGCGAAUCCAAGUUGUACAUUUUAUAUUUUAUAUUUACAAAUGCUCUCAUUUGCAUUCUAAAAGUCCACAAAGAAAUUUUAGUUGAUAUAAUUUGUUAUUUGUUUUUGGAAAAACUUUACUAAAGUGCAUGUGACUUUUAUGCUGGAUAUAAAUAAAUUAUUUUAGAGCUCGGCACAUGCGUAACUUCAAUGUUUUUUAUGUCUUUAUAACUACAAUUGAAAUUGCAUCAGUCGUAUUUAACUGCAAUUCUUUGUAAAAUCAACCAUAGCUACCCUAACGUGUGAUUGCAUUCUAAAAGGAAUUUGAAACUAGAGUAAAACAGAAAGAUAAAAGUAAAUUAGAAAAAAUACAAAUAUGUAUGUAAGUGAUACAAAGUAUCCUCUGGAAUAGCAUGGAGAAAACCACAGUCCAGGAUUUUCACUAUCCUAUGAAAGAAUAAUCUAAAUACACUCAUGCAACAAAAUAUACAAAAAGUGUCUAACAACAAAACUCAUAUAUAUAUAGAGAGAACUCAGAAACCAAAAUCAAGUGUCUAUAUCUAUCUCUAGCCACUGGUCCUACACCUGCUGUGGCCUAGAACCAUAUCCAUUAACACCAUUUGUUCCAUUAACUCCUUGUGAAAACUUGUUCUCUGAUUUCUUCCUCUUGAUCACAAUGAUCCAUGUGUAAGCUUCCAAAAAUACAGCAAUGCCACCCAAAGCUGCAAUAAUGCCAAUGUAAGCAUGUUUCCAGUUGUCGUACCGAUCACCUGCUGACACCUCCAAUGCACUGAACCCUUUAAAGAUGUUGACGAUGCUGAUGAUUAUAGUGGCGUAUCCGAUUCCCCAAUGGUAAAGAUUCCAGUAGAAUCUGGUUUUGUGAUCUUUGUUUGGCCUUAGUAGCAGAGCGAAAACCUGUAUUCAAUAGCAGAAGUUUCUGUUAGUUUCAUAAUAUUAGUAGCAUAACAUAACAUAACAUUCAAAAGAAGCAUAUCAGCAAUCUAGGCCGCAACAUCAAUGUUUUAUAUUUUUUCACAACAAUUGAUGUUGAAUCAGUCGUAUUUGACUGUGACUCUAAAAAUUCUCAAUGAUUGCGGCCACAAUUUAAAACCUUGCAUAUUAGUGGUUUAAGGAACCAAUCAUAAACAUCUAAUCUCAUACCUGAAGGGUUCCAAGGCAGAAGAGGACGAUCCCGAGUGUUCUAUGAGUUGAAUAUGUAACGCCAGGCGAGUCACUGCCGAGUUUGAGACCAGUUCCCCAUCCAGCAACACCAACUAUGUAAGCAGCUGUUUGGCAGGUAACAUGAAGAUAAAACCAAGCAGGGUCUGCAGACUUGAACACCUUCAAGUACCUUGCUAUUAUGGCACCCAAGGGCAUCAAGAUUCCCCAACUCACUGCAUUUAGCACUCCAUGAGUCUGAAAAAUAAAUUAACAUCUUUAAUCAAUUUCCAAAUAACUAUAAAAAUUACCAAACCUUCUAGUUGCCUAACACUUAAAAUCAUUGUAAAAUAUAAUCAAGGUUUUUAUGACUCAAUUAAGACUAUUGUAUGUGUUUGAUUUUGCAGUAACAAAAAUUGAUUUUGAAUGAAUUGAUUCUGACUGAAAUUGUUCUGAAUGUAAUUUUUGUUAAAAUAUAUUCAUGUAAAGGUGAAUUAAACAACGCAUUUGAGCCAAAAUAAUCAAUUCUAGAGUCAAAAGCUUAAAAUUAUAGAUUCAAAAUAAAGUCAAUUUUAGAGUCAAAAUCAAUUAUACUCGAAAACAUUCAAACAUAUCAAAAACAAUUAUACACCACUAGAAUCAAUUUUCAUUCAUCCAAAAGUGAAAUCAAACAUACUAAUAACAUUAGACUGCUACUCAGCAAUAUUAAGGAUCUCAACAAGAUCAUAACAGUAAUUUAAAACCAUUGAUUAAGACAUUGAAAUUUAAUAGCUGUGUUUUAUAAAACUAAUAGACCCUUUUGAUUUAAAAUGAUGUUAUAGUCAGUACUACCAACAAAGAACAAAUUUUGAUAUUCAAAAAAAAAAAAAAAAAUUAAUUUUUAAGAGAAAAAAAAGGUACUAACAUUUCUUCUUCUACUGCGCGAACCACCAGUUGAUCCGUGUUGAGUGACACCAGAAAGAAGAUCCAAACUUUCCUUAGCUUGUUGAUUAGCAGUACCCAAAUCAUGAGCUUGAAUACUAGAACCAGACAUAGGACCAUCUUGCCAAAGAUGAACAAAAGAAGUUGUCCCUUUUGAAAGAUUAAUCGUAGCAUAAAUUGUAAUCUCACCAUUCUGAUGUGUAGCAGUUAAUCUCGAAUGAGUAAAACUAAUAUUACUCUGUGUCAAUUGAGUACUGUAACCAGAAAUUGAUGAAGUAUAAACUUUUGGAACACCACUAGAUUGUGGAAUAGCAACCAAAGCUUGUGCUCCAACCAUGGAUUGUGAAAGAUCACUUUUUGGGUUAAUAGCCCAAGCGACCCAUUUGUUUGUUGAUGUGAUUCCUGUGUGUCUGAAUGCUAUGUCUAGUUUUCCUGAUGUUUGGUCGUAGGUCCAGUGAAGGUACGAGGUAAGUUGUGGUAGAUCCCGACAUGAACUGAAUACCUCGUUGUUUGUGAAGGUUUGUUUUUGACAUGUUUGUUGUUGUGCUAAGGUUUUUGUUACAAACAUAAAACUUAUUAAAAUUGAGAUAAACAUAAACUUGUGAACUACCAUGUUGUUGUUGAUAUUGUGUUCGUUGUUUCUGUUUCUGUUUCUGAAAAAUAUGAGAAGGGUUUUUUGAAAGUUGUGAGAGAAAAAAGAGGAAAUGAAAGGGGUUAUUAUAGAGUUGGUGUGGUGGGUUUGAGUGGUUGAGUGGUUGAUUUCCAACGACGACUAAAACUUUUAACAAUUAUUUGUUAAUUUUUUUAGUUCAAUUCGAUCAUUUUUUUUUUUUAUCUUUCAUGUAGGAUGCGAUAAAUUAGUAAAAUUUAACUAAUUAUUUCUUGUGUGUCUGUAUGAUAGAACAAGGAAUUAGUUCAUAGCUGAUUCUGUUGAGAUGAUAGAUGUUAUAUUUUUUUAAAUUAUAAUUUUGAUUUAAAUAUAUAUAUAGGAAAUUAUUAAUUUUGAUUAAUAUUAAAUUCCAAAAUAAAAUAUAAACAAAAAGAGUAAUAAAAAAGAUAAUCUAUUUAGUCUAAAAUUUAUAUUAAAUACAUAAAAAGAUAGUGUAUUUAAAUUAAAGUGGAGUAUAUUAUUAGAAUAUAAUUUAUAUUUAAAAUUCUAUUUAUAAUGUUUCUAAGAUUAAUUUUUUGUUUUUAAAGAAAUAAUUUAUGAUAUGCUUUUUAUAUUACAAUUUAAUUUUACAUAUAAAACUGAUGGAAAAAAUUUAAUUUUUUUUAAAUAGUAGUAAUAUAUAUUGCUAUCUUGUAUGGAAAAAAGAUAUCCUAUUAAAUUCAAGAUUCGAUAGUAGUAUAAAAUUAUAUUGACAAAUUUAUGGACCGUAAAAAUUCAAACUAAUGGUCGAUUUUGAAUAAAAAUAAUAUUUUUAAGAAUGUAAAAAAAAAUAAGAUUAUGAUAGUUGGUGACUGAAAUGAUGAUAUUUUAAUUUGUUAUUUAGAAAGAGAUAAAAUGAAUCUGUAAUUUAAAAUCUUAAUAAUAAAAUAGUAGUGAAAGGAGUCAAUUAGUUGUGUAUGGGUCUUCCCGGUCCAUGAGUGGAAGGUUCCAUUACGUGUGUUAAGUUAAAGCAAUUUGAUUUGUUAUAUAGAAAAGAACAAAGUUGGAAUUCAGACUUAUAUAGCUCACUUGACAAGUUUUUCCCAAAUAAUAUCUCUUUUCACACCUGUCCUUACGCACAAUCUAAAGAUCUCACAUACACAUUUUAUUUUAUUUAUUUAUUUAUUUAUUGUAUUUAUUUUACGCUAUUGAAAUGGUGUGUUCAAAAGUUGCCAACUUGAUUUUGAUGGGUCAAUCUUAAGGGAAGCACAAACAAUUUGUUGAGCUGUUUUUUUUAAUACAACAAGAGGGAAAAAAAUUGUUGAACUGUUUAACCAAAAUGAUGCCUUUGUGAUAAUAUUUUUUUUUCUCGGUGACUAUUUUAUGUUUGAAAUUCUAUUUUUCGUUUUGGCUUUUCUAAAUAUUUGCGUUGUAAUUCCGUCAGUACUAUACUUUCUGCUAUUGACUGCAUUUCCUCAAUUCUCGUCAUGAUAUACGGUACGGUAGUCGUAUAAUUUUUAGUUGAAAAACAAUAUUUUAAUAUAGAAAAAAUAUUGACACAAUACUUGAUAUCGAAUGACAUAAUAAGAUGAUAGUGUUUUUCAUUUUUUAUGUUUUUAUUAAUUCAGAUUUUUUGACAAAAACAUAUAUAUAUAUAUAUANNNNNNNNNNNNNNNNNNNNNNNNNNNNNUUUUUGUAUUUUUAGUUUUAUUGACAGACAUAUAUAUAUAUAUAUAUAUAUAUAUAUAUAUAUAUAUAUAUAUAUAUAUAUAUAUAUAUUGAUUGUUAUAUGUGAUACUUAAUUAGAAGACAUUAGAGAUAUGGUUAGUUUUUUGUAGUUAGUUUUCAGUUAAUUAGUUGUAACUAAUUAGUUUGUUAUUCUUAAAUCGUAAACAACUUCUAUAUAAGCUAAAACAAGAGAAGAAAAAUAUAGAAAAAAAGUAAGCAAGUUGCAGUUUUGAAAGAAGUAUGCAAAACUGGCGGUAGAAAACUUCAAGAUAGUUGUAAUCAUUUUUCAUCUUAUUAUAGUGUGCUAAUUCAAUUCGGAUCCAAUCUCCCAGAUGUAUGAGUUAAUAUCUGAACUGAGUUAACAAUUGUGUGUUUUCAUUUUAGAUUUGUAAAGCUUUAAUUCUGUUAGUCAGAAAACGGAGAACGUUAUUCGUUUAAAUCUGAUCAAUCUCUGUUUUUCAGUUUCAAUCAAUUUGUAUUUUUCUGAACAAAACCAAAAACAAUUUUGGUAUAAUUACUCAUUGAUCUUCGUUUUUUCAUAACACAAGUUUAUAUUAUUAACCACUUUGAAUGUUUCAUUAAUCAUUAAAUACAAAUUAUUAACUACUUAUUUAAGGUAUUUCUCAUUAAUUUCUAAAAUGUAAAACAUUAUACACUUUGAAUUAUGCGAUUUAGUGGUUGAAUAAGUACUCUAAAAUAAUUAAUGUAGUGUACAGUGGUUAAUAAAAUAUAUGUUUAAAAAGUGAUUAAUAAAAUAUAUAUUUAAAAAGUAUUUAAUGACAUCAUUUUAAUAGUUACUGAAGUAUUCAAAGUAAUUAAUAACACAAAUAUGAAGUGUUUUUUAUUUUUUAAAUGUAAAAACAAAAAAAAAAUGAACACUACACAUUAAACAUACACUACACAGGAGUAGAGUUGAUGAACUAGAAUACGCAACGUGACACAUUCGCACUCAUUUAAUACAAAAUACUAAAGAUCAAAAGAAAGAGUCUUAAGAAUCUUUUAAGUUAACUUAAUAGACGUUGGAUUAUGAUCAAAUGGAUGACCUGGAUUGCUUAUAUGAGGGACGGAGACUUAUUUGGUGAUUAUUCCUUAAGCUUAAUUUACCCUAGAAGUUCUAGAAAGUUCACUUUUGUAUCUUGUGUUUAUACAUGUGAACAAGAGAAGCUUAUAUAAAAUCACAAGCAUGAACUCUUCUUUAAUAUAAGUUUUUUCCUUUGAAUAAUUAUUGAAAAAAUUAUAAAAAGUUUUAUGAAUUAAGAUGGACUUUUAGGAUAUGGUAAGAUUUUAAUUUGAUUAAAUUCUCAAUAUAUAAAAUAUUUGAAUUUAAUUUAUAUAAUCUGAUAUAGUCAGUAGUGUAAAUUAUUUUUACACUUCAUUCAAUCACACUUGUAAAAUUAUUUGGAGGAUUUAAUUUUUAUGAUAAUGACUUUUAAAGUCAUAUAGAUGAUUGGUUUAUGAUAUACGACUAUUAAUGUAUAAUGAAAAUUAAACUCAAAAUAUUUUGCACACACAUCUAAUAGAUGUGAUAUCACACCAUUUAUCAUUUAAUAAGAGCAAUAAAUAUGUGUUUUAAAUGAUGUGAUAACAUAUUAUUAAAUAAUUAAAUCUAUGUGUAGAAUAUAUAUAUUAACAUAAAUAAUAUAUUUUUUCCAUUUUAAAAUAUAAGUAAAAAUUAUCAAAAAUAUUAAUGUAUUUGAUCGAAAAAUAUUAUCAACUUUGAACAAAUUUUAUGAUUUAUGAAAUUUAAUGCACAUUGUAUCAAUGAAAAAAAAAACUAUACGUUGGAACCAAAGUAUCUACUAGAAAAGAAAAGUUUGUUUGUAUGUAUGUUUGUAUAUUAAAUGAAAUAAUGAUAAUUUAAAAUAAAUAAUUAAAAAUUAUAUUUUUUUUAUCAAUUAUUAGACACCGUUUAAAUAAUCAGAUUUUGGAGCUUAAUUAUAAUAUAAAUUUAUUACUGAAAAUUAACUUUAAGAAUAUGGUAAGCAUCAGAAGAAUAUGGUAAGAUUAAGAUUAACUUAAUUAUUUGAAUUAAAUUUAUACACACUCAUCAUAUAUGUAAAAACAUUUAAUUUUUAUAUUAUUUUUAAAUUCAUACACAUAAUUAAUUGUGAUAUUCUACUAUUAGUGUAAAAUAAAAAUCAAAUUCAAAAUAUUUUACACAUAUAUAUGGUGAGAUGUUCAUCAUAUCAUUUAUUGAGUGCAACAAAUAUGUGUUUUAAACUGAUUAAAUGAUGUGGUAACAAAUCAUUGAAUGAUGUGUAAAAUAUUUUUACAUAAAUAGGAUACUUGUCUCAUUUUAAAAUAUAAAUAAAGGUUAAUCAAUAAAAUAUAUUUGUUUGAAAAAGGUAAAAAAUAUCAUCAACUUUGAUGCAAGUUUACAAUUAAACUCAAUGCAUAUUUUACCGAUGAAAGAAAUCCAACAUUUCAACCAAAGUCAAAAUUACUAGAAAAGGAAAGAUUGUUUGUAUCUUUAUAUAUUAAAUAAAUAAAAAAGGGUAAAAUCACAUUUAAUCCUAACUUUUUAAAUCGACAAUUUUUGCUCAAGUACAUUUUCAAAGCAUCCUUUUUGGCCCCCUACUUUUCAUUAUGCAAUAUUGGUUAAUCCCUUGAUGACAUAGACCAAUAUUCUUGACUAUCAAAUAUCAUGUGGGAUAUUAUUUUAAUUUUAGUUUAUUUUUUUUAUUAAAAUUAUAAUUUUGAAUUAAAAUUUUAUAAAAAAAAUAUGGAGAGCAAAAGCAUUACCUAGAUUGAAAAAAUUCUAUUCGUAAAAGCAUAUAAAGUUGCGACAAUUUUUCUUUUCAACUUUCUUCACUUGCUUGUUAAUACACCUUAGUAAGACUCCUAAUUAAAAUGACAUGUUUGGUAGCUAAGACAAUCUCUACUAACAUUUUUUUUAUCAAUUAUUAGAAAUUGCUUAUAUAAUCGGAUUUUGCAACUUAAUUCAAAUAUAAAUUUAUGAAUUAAGAUGAACUUUUAGAAUAUGGUAAUUUUAGAUUGUAUAAGUUGUCAAUGUAAAGAGUUUAUAUUAAUCUUUAUCAUAAUAAUUUCUAAAAUCUUACGUAAUUAAUUCGGAUAUCAUGUUGUAAUUGAUUGUGAUAUAAUGUUGUUGGUUUAAAAUUAAACUCAAAAUAUUAUACACAUGUAUAUACAUCUAGUUAUGUGAUAUCACAUUAAUUAUGUGUUUUAGACUAGUUAAAUAAUGUGGCCACAUAUUAUUAAAUGUAUGCGUAAAAUAUUCGUACAUAAAUAAUAUACUAUAUAGAUUUGAUUUUAUGCUAAAGAUACUUAUGUUUUCCUAGUUUUUUAAUGUCAUUUUUUUGAAAUUUAAUUAUGUCAAAUGCACAGUGCUAGUGCUUUAUUGAGAAAAAAAUUGAAAUCUUUUAUCAUAAAAAUAAAUUUCUUUAAGAUAUUAUUUAUUAACUUUUUGUGACAACUCAUAUAUCUUGAAGCGAUGUUGAUUAUAGUAUCAAUAUUCAAUCAUUCGAACGUACGUCAUUUUUUAUACUUAAAGUCACAUCAUUUGAAACUUAAUUUAGUUUCUCAUAGUUAUCAAACAAUUCUCUUUAAUUCUUUAUACAAUAUUUAUGUCACAUUAUUUAUUGUAAAUAUUUUUAAACUUAGUUUAGGAAAAUAGCUAGAAAAAUUAAAAUAAACUUAAUGCAACACUAACAAUGAUCUAAAUUUUAAUUUGAAGUAUCUCAUAUAAAUAUUAUUAUUUUUAAUUGGUGCGUUUGAUAUGAAGAAAAAAAACGUAAUUGACAUAACACUAAAAGAUAAAUAUUUAAGUUGAUUUUACCGGGUGGAAGUAGAAUCCUAAAAAGAACCUUAAAAUCUCAAGUCUCUUUUAAAAAAUCUCAUAAUAAGCUCUUAAUGUUAGUUUUUUAUUGAAAUGAAUUUUAAACUCCAAUCUAUUAUUUCAGUGGAUUUUAAAGGAGGGGUUCAAUUGACUCAUAGAUCUAAUAUUUUGUUAACCGACUUACUUGUUUUGAAAAAAUUUCGAUGUUUUUUUUUCUCAAAAAAAUAUUAGAAAUUUUUUUCAAGAAAAUCUAAAAUAUUUUUUUCUCAAAAAAGAUUGUAAGCAAAAUCAAAAAAUUAUUUAUCUUAAAAAAAUCGAUUUUUUUUCUCGAAUAAUAAAAUUUUAAAAAAAUUGUAAAUCUUUAAAAAAUCGAACUUUUUUUAUCGAAAUUUUUUGAGAAAAAGAAUCAAAAAAAUAUUUUUUUUUAAAAAAAAGUGGGCCAUAGACGCAUAUAAUUUUAGGAAUUUUGUUGGUUUUGGGGAUUUUUAAACUAUAAAAUUUUUUACUCUUUCAAAACGUAGAUUUGAACCAAUAAUUAAUAGACUUGUAAAAUUGACAGUUUUAGGUGGGACUACCAAUUUUUUUUAUUGGUUUUGUUAUUUUUAUUAUUAAAAGAGAAGAAGAAAAAAAUAAAAUAAAAAAGAGCCGUAAUAGUGAGGUAAUUGGAUCAGGCCAUUGGUUGUAAGAAAGGGAUUAUUAAAUAAAUAUAAGGCAAAAGAGAGAGCAACGUUAACCGUAACAGAAGAAAAGGAAAGAGCUCGAUGGCAACAGGGAAGAAGGGAAAAAAGCUUGAUUUCGGUCAUAAUAGGUGUCUAAUAAAGUUCUCUUAUUUAGCUUACAAUAUUGUUAUAUUAAUAAUAGUUUUACAAUAUUGUUGGUUUCUUCAUUAUUGUUGGUUUUUAUUCUUAUUUUGAAGAAAUAUUUCCACGCUACAUUUAAUUUUAUAUUAAUUUAUUACUAUAUGAAAUUAUAUUUUUUAUUUAUUAUUUAUAUAUUAUGUAUUAUUAAAAUAAUUAUUUUUUAUUUUUGUCAAUAUUGUGUAAAUUAGUUUUACACAUUUGAGGAUAUAAUAACAUAGUAAUGCCAUGUUUGUUUGAGUCUUCAUAAAAAAAAAUGUUUUUUUUUUCAUUUGAGAAAAUAAAGAGAGUUGCAAGUUUUUCAGAAUGUAUGAGGAAAUUAAUAUAUUAUAUUUACAUGUGUGAGUAAAAUUAUUUGAACAAAGAAAUUUAAUUUGUACUUUUUUUGGUGUAUAUAAGUUUAACAAUUGGUGUAGUUCAAUUGGUUAUUGAACAUUAAAGAGCAUAUGGGGGAGGGAGAAAAAAAAAUGUAUAUGAUAAGUUUACUAAAUCCUACAAAUUUGGAAUUUUUUUCACAUAUAUCCAUUUCUUUUGAACAUAUUAUAUUGUUAAUAUAUAUAUAUAUAUAUAUAUAUAUAUAUAUAUAUAUAUGUAUGUAUGUAUUCUUCUUUGGUCUAUAAAUAUAUUUAAAUUACGUCUGUUUUCUGAGAAAAAAAGAAAGAUAUAUAAUAAUAUAAUAAGAAGAAAUAUAUUAAUAAUUAUUUGUAAUUUAAUACUCUAAAAUAGAAUGAAAAACUUCUAAUUAAUUUUUUUUAAUAAAAAGACGUGGCUUAGAGUAAUUUCAAAUAAAACAUAGUAGCUUUCUAAAUAAAAAAAAUAACAUAUUUUUUUGGUUGUGAGAAAAAAUAUAUUUUGAGUAGAGAUAGUUUAAGAUGACUAUGUGGAAAUGGGAGGAGUGGAUAUGUUUUGUAUAUUUUCUCUUUAUUUGUUUUUAAUUUUUAAUGUUACCUUAACAUAAUUGUUAAGAUAAAUAAUUUGACUGUUUUGCCCCUAAUUUAGGAGGAUUUUUUUACUUAUAUACCUAAUAAAUAAAUUAAAUGUUAGGAAUAAAAUGUUGAAUUAUUCGAUUGUAAUUCAAAAUAUUAUUUAAAUGUUACCGAUAAUUCUAUUAAAUCUCUAUAAUUGUUUUUAAUACUAAUUUUAAUGAAUUUUAUAUUAUUAUUAAUUAAUAUUUUUAAUUAUUUAUUUAUUAUUUUGUAUAUUUUAUCAAUUAAUACAAAAAAAAAAUGAAAGAAAAAAAUAUGUGAAUAGAAUGUCGAAUCCUUAGAAUACGAUCUCUUAAAGGUCCAAAAAAUAAGAUAUUUUGGUAUAUUAAUUUUAAAGUGGGGUAUUUUAUAAAUUUUUUUUUUUACAAAAAGUGGGAUAUAUAUGAAAAAAUCCACAAAUUUGAGUUUGCUUGAGAUGUGUUCUAGGAUUUGGAAGUAUUACAUUAGUGAAGACUUAAAUAGAUCUCAUCUUAAAUAUAGGAUUCUCUUGCGAUUUUUCUUUGUCCCAUUUUAAAAGAUUCAUUUUACUUUUUCAACUGCAUUAAUUAUUUUUUACAAACUUAUCGUUAAUUAUGUUACAUAUUUUUCUAUAAUUUAUAAUAAAUAAUACAAUAAAACUACACACUAAUUAUUUCUCUUUAAAGGUAAACUAGUAAAACAAAUUACUAACAAAUUUAAUACUACAAUCAACUUUCUUAAUUUUCGUGAUUUAAUCAAUAAAAUCUUAAGUAAAUGAACAAAAAUAGUAUUAGUUAGGUAAAUGGUGAAUAGUUGUAAAUUGUAAUCUAGUUUUUUUUUUUAAACGAAAUUUUCACUAAAAAGACGAAAUGUAAAGCACAUUAUCAUAUUUACAAAACACAUAAACAUUAAAGAAUCAAUUUUAUCAACAUAUCAAGUGAAGAUUUUAGAUGUUGAAGAGAAGUGACUUACAAAGAAUCAAUACAUUGUAUUAGUACCUUUCUUGACCCACACGUAAUGCCCAUUUGGAACACCAAAUUUAUUAAAAUGACAAGCAUUAGGUGUGUGGCCAUUUUGACCACAAUAAAAGCAUAUAGAAGUAUAUUUACUUUUAUAUGUAUGUAUAUGAGAUUUCUUUUGAAUUAUUUUAUCUUUAAAAUGAUGAUCUCUUUGCAUAAUUAUAACUUUCUCUUUAGAUUGGUCACUUGUUUUAACAAAGAUAGUUUUAUUUAUACUUGGUUUAUCAAAUUUUGAAUAACCAAGACCACUUUUGUCAUUUGAAUAUCUUUGCAUAUUUAAAACAUUUUCCAAUUCAACUUGUCCUUUUUCAUAUCUUUCAAUUACUCUAUUUAAUUGGAUAAUUUUGAAAGAAAGAGAAUCACACUUAUUGCAUGUAACAUUCUGUUUUAAUUUUUCAGAAUUCUUUUCCGUAAUGUUAAGUUUUUCUUUAAGAGAUGAAAUUUGUUUCUUUUGAGUUGACACUAUUUUGAACAGAUUUUUACAUUCCAUAAGUAAUUCUUUAAUUGCAUUUUGAGCAUCAUUAUACUCAAUAAUUAAUUCUUUGUUACUAACCUCUUCUUCUUCGUCGGAUUGGUGGGAUGCCAUCAAUGCAACAUUUGCACAUUCGUCACUUUCCAACUCCGAAGAUGAACUGACUUCAUUGUCUUCCCAUGCUAUAUAAGCUUUUUUGGAUUCUUUCUUCUUAUGAGCACUUUUCUUAAUAUUUGGGCACACGCUCAAAACAAGUGAAGUUUUGAUUCGAAGUGGAGACAUCCUUCUCCCUGAAAGUUUUUCUUUUCUUUCCAAAUUUAUAAGUUUUUCAUUUUGAAGGAACUUACCAAAUUUCUUUACAAAUGAGGUGAUGUUCUCAUCUUCAUCUGAAUUCUCAUCAUUGAUUUUCUCUUUUGACUCCGCUUUUAAGGCAAUGCUCUUUGGCUUGUUCUCUUGACUUUCAUUUUGUUCUAGCCUUUUAAAUUCAAUUUCAUGUUCUUGAAGUUUUUCGAAAAGUGCAGAAAGAGACAUUUUUGAUAGGUUUUUCUUUUCAGAAAUUGUCGUUACUUUAGGUUGUCAUGCUCUUGUUAAUGAUCUUAGAACUUUAAGGUUCAAUUCACCAUUAGUGAUGAUUUUGCCAAGCGCCAUCAAGUGGUUGGUUAGAUGAGAAAAUCUUUUCUGCAAGUCCAGAAUAGAUUCUCUGGGCUCCAUUCGAAACAAUUCAUAUUCUUGAGAUAAUGUGUUGAGUUUGGAACAUUUUACCUCAAUAGUUCCUUCAUGUGUUACUUCAAGUGUAUCCCGGAUUUCUUUAGCCGUUUUGCAAUGUGACACAUGAAAGAAUUCAUCCAUUCCAAGUGUUGAUUGUAACAUAUUUUUGGCCUUCUUAUCAAAUAACACUUUCCUCUUGUCAUCAUCUGUCCAUGAAACUUUAAUUUUUGAUUCUUCUUUAUUGUCAACGACUGUUUUUGGAACAUAGGAAUCAUUUUCUACUGCAUCCCAAAUAUCAUCUCCUUGUGCUUCAAGAUAUGCUUGUAUGCGUAUCUUCCAAUAGUCAUAGUGUUCUCCAACGAAGCAUGUCUGUUUAUUGCUACUACCACCAUCUCUAAAAAUUGGUUGUGCGGAAGGAACCUGCUAUGAUACCAAUUGUAAGAACAGAGGCGCACCUAAGAGGGGGGUUGAAUUAGGUAUUUAGAAAUUUUCUUGUUUUUAGAUAUUUAAUGUUUGAUUUUUCUGAUUUAAGAUAGUGUAUAGAAAAGAUAAAUGGCCGAAAAAUAAGGAACACAUCAGUUUAUCCUGGUUCCCCUUAUAACCAAGGGUACAACCAGUCCUCUUGCAUACCACAAGAGAUUAAUCCACUUAUUGUUAGAAUAAGUACAAGUCCCACCAUAGGACCUUUUCUACAAACUCCUAACAAUGACCCUAAGAUAGCACGCCAUUAUCUUAGUUUACAAAACUUGAAGAAAGAACACCAUUUUUCUCAAUUUACAACACUUGAAUGGUUUAGCAAUAUUGAUUUUGAGUUAGAUUAAUAUGAUAUAACAGUUGAUGUACAAUGAUAACAAUCCAAUAUAAUUUCAAGUACACUAGAGAACUUUUCUUAAUGAUAUGAAAAUGUAAAAUCUGUACUUGAAAUAUAAAAGUGAAACCUUGAAUAAAUCAAAACAUUUUAGAAAGUUUGUUCAAGGUUUGAUUGUAGGAUUGGUUUUUAUUAAACUGAUGUUAUGGGUAUUUAUACUCCAUAGACAUCACUUCAAAUCAGUGGCCUUCAUUCCUAGAGGUUUGAUGAAGAAAUGCAAUGAUCUGGAAUCAUUUCAUAAUUGAAAAAUUGCAUUGUUUCUAGUUGUAUUCGACUACAGCUUGUGCGUAGUCGAAUACACAUCCUUUUAACGUUCAGUUUUAUUUGAAUUUUGAAGCUUGUAUUCGAAUACACAUUCUUGUAUUCGAAUACAGAUGUUUGAAUUUGGCCACUGACUUGGUUUUGUAUUCGGCUACAUCAGGUUGUAGUCGAAUACAAAUGUGCAGUUUUAGUUACUGACUUAGCACUCAUAUUCGAAUACACUGUCUCGUAUUCGAAUACAAAUGUUCAAUUUUAGCUACUGACUUAGCACUCGUAUUCGAUUACAUCAUCUCGUAGUCGAAUACAGAUGUUCAAUUUUAGCUACUAACUUGUCUGUAUUCGGCUACAACAUGUUGUAUUCGAAUACAACAUUGUAUUUUGCCAAAAAUAUUAUUUUCAAACAUUAUUUAUAUAUUUUGACACUUUGAAAAUUCUUUUGAUGCAUAUGCUAAAAUGAAAGGUUCUUAUGUGCAUUUGAAAUAUACGAAUAUUAGAUUGCAUCAUGUACCUUUACAUUAUAAAACUUCUAGCAUAUUUGACCAUAGUUGUCUUUGAUGUUUGACUUCUUUUUGAGCUUGCAACUUGAUCACUUUCCUUAGUCUUUGUCUUCAUCAAAAACAUGUAUUUUACAACCUUCAAGAAUACAUUUUUGUUCCACACGAAAUCAUAUUGCAGCAUCUAAAAGUGUUGAUUAGCCUCAGACAACACAUUGUAAGCAUCUUCCAUUGAGUAUCCAUCAUUGUGUCAUUGUCUCUACGACCACCUAUCUAUCUUAUGAUCCUGCAACGAAAAAAUAGUUAAACAAUAAAUACAUUUUGACAAAAGCUCUUUUUUUCAUUGAAAAGACCUCUCAUCCACAUCCAUCCAUUACCUCCCAUGCCGAUUGUACUACUAAAUAUAGUUGCCACUAUCACAUUUUUAUGUGGCCAAACUAAACAAACGACUAAAUUUAUUAAGUAAAACUUCCCCAUUUACUCACAUAUCCUUCCAAAAUAAAGUGUCCCGACCAUUCUCCAGUUUCGAAAAUAAGUAUUUAUUGAACCAAAUAUCCUUCCACCACAAAUACUUUUUUCCUUCACUUCUACCAUUACCAACAAAACUUCACCAAUAUUUGUGUGAUAACACUUUAGCCCACAAUCAUCAUUUUUUUGUCUUCAUCGUCCAACACUUUUUUUGUAUAAGAGCAUAAUUAAGUAGACACAUAUUCCUCACACUCAAUCCAUGAAAUUUACACAAUAAAAUCUAUUAAAAAUAGUUUUUGAUAUUAUAAAAGAAUCUUCCUUUUUCAAAUUUAAAUUGUUUUCCCUAAAACGUAAAAAAAAUAAUUGGAAAAAGAAAAUUAAAAAUAUAAUUUUAAAAUUUAUGUCGUAAGCCGAUGGAUAUCUUUAUAGGUAAAAAUAUUUUAUCAUGCAAACUUAUCAACAUCAUAAUAAAUGAAAUACUUUCAUUCCAAUCUUUUUUUUUUUUUUGAGUUAACUUUCCUUCUAAUCUUAUUCUUUAUUAUAUUAAUAUUUAGUUAUAUAUACGGCUCAUAUCUAAUGAAAUUGAACAUUAUAUGUGAGAGGAACAAUUUUUGACCCUUAACUGGGUCACGUGCUAUGUUUUCAAAUUUCGAACCUAUAUCCUUCGUAUUUCAUAGUUCAUAAUAUGGUUGACGGAAAUGUAAAUGUUGUUAUGUCAUGGAAAGAAAAAUAUAUGCAACACGACUUAUUAAAAAAAAAGUGACAGUAAUUCCCUUCUGUUGUGGAUGUUUGAUUCUUCCGUAUUUAUAAAAAUAAAUAAAACAUUAUUAUUCUUUCUAAAAAAUUAUAAAUUAUGUAGACUCAACUUAGAGAACGUACGUAAUUGUACAGCUAAUAAUUAAAAGCAAGUUGCUCACAAGUAUGUUAAGGAUUUAUUUAAUAAAAUUUUAUCUUUUAUUUUGUUACUAAGAAGAAAAUUUUAUCUUAAAAGUUUAAAUGAAACACUUGUUAAUAUAGUAAUAAAUAUAUCGUUUUCCAAUACAAAUUCAUAAUGUUUGAAUGUUUAAACAAUGUUCUAAGCAAGAUAGUCAUUAGUAUUCUCCAUGGUUAAAAUUUCAAAGUUGUGGCAUGAGAUCGUUCAAUAAAGAAACGUAUUAGUAGAAGAAAGAGUCUUUAUUGAAAUGUGGAUGUUUGAGUGAAAUCUUGAAAUGUGAAUGUUGAAAAGUGAGCUUUCAAGGCACUCCUCUUCGAGCCCAAAAGCCCAUUCCAAGACCCAUGUAAGCAUGCUUGAUUUCAGAAAGUUGGCUUUUGUACCCCCUCAAUUAACCCUGUACCCCCUCAUUUAAAAAUUUUAUUUUUAAAUAUCCAAACUACCCUCAUUCUAAUUUUUUAAAUUAAAAAUAACAAUGUGAUUUGAUUUAAAUAAUGUGAAAAUGAUAUGAUGACGUGAAGUAAGUAAUAAUUAUGAAACUAAGCCUUCUUAAAUGUCCAAACUACCCUCAUUCUAAUUUUUUAAAUUAAAAAUAACAAUGUGAUUUGAUUUAAAUAAUGUGAAAAUGAUAUGAUGACGUGAAGUAAGUAAUAAUUAUGAAUUUCAAUAAAACCUUCUAAAAACUUAAUUUUCAACUUCGAAAAACUUUCAUUUUUAUAAUUUAAUAACAUAUAAAUAAUUAAUACAUCUAGAUGAUUCUAUAUCAUUAAAUCUUAUAUCAACUCAUUUAAAAUAUAUCAAAUCAUUAUUUCUUAAUUUAUAAAUACGAAGAAGUGAUCAAAAAUGUCAACUUCUAAACAAAUUUGUGAGUUGGUGAAAAUAACAGUACUCAAAUUGCAAUUAAAUUUAAAAAAUUCGAUGGAAUGACAAAAAAUAUUGAAUUUUAAAAUAGAUUCAUCAAAUUUACAAACCAGUGAAAAUAAGAAAAAUAAAAUAACAAUUAAAGUGAAAAAUCCGAAUUUGCACAUAGAUAGGUGCCUGCAUUGAUUUAUAAGAAGAUAGAGUGAGGCGUGUAUUUGAAGAUUUACGUGGGUAUCAAUUUUAAUUUUCUAACUCUUUGAGUAAUUAAGGAAUCAUAUAUGUACUCAUUUAUAUAUAGUUAGAGGUGGUAAUAGUUCAGCCCGAUCAAUAGAUGUCUACUAUAUAGUUUAUUUUAGGCUAAAACCAAACUUUGUUUUAAAAUACAUCAGAUCAAGACUUCUAAAAUAAUCUAUUUAAUUAAAAAUAUCAUACUACGGACACAUAAAAAGUCUUUUAAGUUUAUUAAGUCGACCUAUUUAAAUAAAUAUAAAACAAUUUUUUUUAUUAUUAUAAUAAUUAUAAUAUUAACUUUUGAUCUUUUUGUUACAUAUUAACUUUUAGAAAUUUACGUCUAUUAAUCUUAAUUAUUGAGUUUUUGACAUAUUUAAAUAUGUUAUUAUAAAAUAGAAUUAAAAUAGGAUAUCGUAUAAUGUCAUAUUUUUCAAAAUGUCAUGUUAAAUAUCAAAAUAUAAUUUAAUUUUGUUGAUAUAUUAAUUUGCUAGUCUAUUUAAAUAUAUGUUUGAUUAUUUAUUCUAAUAUGUUAAAAUAAAAUAGUUGUUUAGAUAUACUAACAUGUCAUAUCAGACUUUUAUUAACGU
rnacentral:lncRNA from 1 species